rnacentral:lncRNA from 1 species
AUGUUUGGGAUGUGAGAAAUCUUUUGCCAAUCUUCACCCAUCUCCUCCUUCCCGUAACGUUCCCUUAGAAUGGGGCACCAUCUUAUCUCCAAUUCCUGUAGAGGCGCUGCCAAAACAUAGUCUGGUAGUGCUCUCAACAACGGGCAAUUAACAAUCAUCAACUCUCGAAGUUGUGGCAUAAUGGAUAUUAUUGAAGUUGUGUUGGCAUCUUCUUCUCCCAAGGAUCUCCUUUCAAUUCCAUCCCACUCCUCUACUUCUGUGAGACCCUCCAUCGCAAGUUUUUUUAAUUUGGGGAAAGCAGUGACCCUUGCAAUUUCUCCUUCAUUAAUACUGGCAUUCUCAUCUUUUUCUAUACCUAAAAAUCCAGCAUCCAGCCUUCUCACCUUCAUCAAAAUCAAUACCAGGCUUUCAAGGUUGGGCAAUCUACCCAACGGAGGCAAGACCUCCAGGUUUUCACAAUAACGGAGUGUAAGCACCUGUAAUCUGGUUAAUGCCAUCAUCCAAUUUGGCAAAUCCAACCCUCCGUACCCAUAUAUGGUUAGAUUUUCCAAGUCUGACGGAGGCCGUAAAGCUUCAAAUAAAAUGCCGUCCUCCAGGUUGUGGUCGAAAACCAAUUCCAAACGAAGCAGGCGCUUCUUAUUCUUGAGUUGUGCUUCUGCAGCGUCCCUCGCAUCUUCUUUACCUCCUCCUAGAUUCCCUAUCUGAAGACUCCCUCCAAUGUGAUUUAAGUUUUUUAAUUCUCUUAGAUUAGCUGCUUUACUUUCAUUCUCACCACCACCACACACAAAAAACUGGUCUAAUGUUCGAAGACAUGUUAUCCUCUCUAUUCCCUUUGGUAUGAAGGCCACACCUGAACCAUAAAUCCGGAGAUGCCUCAAUUUGAUAAGUUUUCCAAUCGCCCGAGGUAAUUCGUUGAGAUAACAACACUGAGUAACGUCUAGGGAUUGCAGAUUGCAUAAAUCACAAAUGGUUUCUGGCAGGGACUCCAACAUUCCACAAAAUGCCAAAUUGAGGUGUCUCAAAUGUAUCAAUUUCCCUACCUGAUUUGGUAUUUCUCUGAUAGAAGACUCUGACAAAUUCAAUGACCUGAUGCAUGUCAACUGCUUGAAUAAAUCAGGUAGUGCAGCUCCAAGCGAAGAGUCUCCAGUGUGGAUCAAGAGGCUGCGAAGACCUUUUGCUUUGUGAAUGGACUUGGGAAAAGAGGUCACCGCUAAAUGACGAACCCUUUCAAUUGAAGUCUUCACUGUUAGACAUUCAUUUUUUGUCAUAUAUUGGGCAAAAUCAUGCACUAUAUCAUGCAUCUUGAAUCUCAUUCCUUCACGAUCACUCUUCUCAAAAUCUUGGAAGAAAGAGCGCGUUGCUAAGACUUGAAAGUACUGCUCUCCUACAAGCUCCAUAUCUCCACCUGAAGUCUCCUUGAGGUAACCUUGAGCCAUCCACAUCUUCACCAAUUCAUCUUUGUCCAUCUCGUAGUCUUUUGGAAACAUGGCACAAUACAAGAAACAUCGUCUUACCACAGAAGGUAAAUCGUAGUAACUCAAAAGCAAAGGUGGAAAUAGUCCUCUUUCAACAUGUUCUAGCUCCCACAGUUCGCUAGAUAAAACAUGUUCCCACUCUUCUCUUGUUCUUUUAGACUGCAUUAGACCUCCUAAUACCUUGGCAGCUAGAGGCAAGCCCUUGCACUUGCUUGCAAUUUUGUCGCCGAUUUCUGUCAAUCUUUCGCACUCAUCUUUGCUUCUUUUAUGGAAUGCCACCUGAUUGAAUAUUGACCUGCAUACCUCAUCAGACAAUUUCUCAAGGUUGAUCACGUGGUCAGUUCCUAUCAUGGUUGCCACAGAAUGUUUACGACUGGUCACUAGAAUUCUGCUUCCUGUUGCACCGCCUUUGAGAGAUAGUUUCAGUGGUUCCCAUUGUCUAUGAUUUUCUGUCCAGACAUCAUCUAGGACAAGAAGGAACCUCUUUCCCUUAAUUGAUUCAGAAACACUUUGCAAAAGGGAUUCCAAUUCAACUAAAUUCGGUGCACCCCCUUGAAGCGCCUCAAGGAUAGCUUUUGAUAUCCUAACCUCAUCGAAUGGAUCUGAUACACACACCCAUAUCUUUUUCUCAAAAUGAGCCGUAACCCGAGCAUCAUUAAAAGCUAGUUGGGCGAGAGUUGUCUUUCCAAUCCCGCCCAUUCCUACUAUAGAGAUCUCCACGUCCCCUGCUUCCUGAAUACUUUCGCCCAGCAACUUGCUUACUACAGCUUCCCUUUCAUCAUCUCGACCACGCACGAUUGAUUCAUCAACAAGGGAGGUACUUGUUAUUCGUUGUAGUUCAUCAGUGGCUCUGUACAACUCAAAGCCAAACAUAGCUCUCUCUUUGGUAAUCUCAUCCACUUUUUCACAUACUUCUUUGAUCUUGAGGGCAAUGUCGCGACGUCGAGCCACUUGAUUGAAACAAAAGCAAGGAGAUCCCAGGAAGGAACAUCGCAUCUUCUGUAGGCUGCGAGUAUUUUCUUCAACUUCCUCCAUUUUCCAUCUAAGAAUUGCAGUGCUCCAUUCAUCUAGCACGUCAUCCAUAUCAUAGCAUACAUCUUUGAGCUUGUCUGCCCAAUCCCUUACAGCCUUAUCCUUCACUUGUUUUCUAUCUGCAUCUUCAAGGACAGAUUGGAUAGCAAGGAGAUUGCUUUUCAGCUUGUCGACUUGUUUCUGCACACCCCCUACUAGGUUCACUUCUUCCUGUACCUAUUGGUGUAGAAAAGACCAGAAAGUUCAAGCAGAGGAAACAGUUCUAUGAUUUCACUACAAGUUUUUAAUUUUAAUUUUUGGGAAUUAAUAGAUUAAAUAAUUUUUAUUAAUCUUUUUUCCGCAUAGUUCACACGUACAGUGAAUUGGAUUGGCUAUAUUAUAAAUUCAUAUAUAAAAUAUUUAUUAAGAACCUAUAUAUUAAAAAUAAUAAUAUUUCUUUUUAUCAUCAUCAUGAUGAUAUCUCUGUCUGCACUCUGCUACUAUACAAGAAAGGAAAAAAAUGAAUCUUAAAUUGUUCGACGUCAAACCUGUAUAUAACAUAAGCUUGGCGGAUCAAAGAAAUAUAAAAGGAAUAAAAGGAAAGUGAAUAAAAGGAUCUGUAUUUGUUGUUAUUUGUAAAGUCUAUAAUAAGAUUAUGGAAGAAAAAAAAGACUUAAAUUUUUAUAUUUCUUAUCAUGUUACGGUUAAUUCGAUCAUUGCAAAUUGUAUAAAAGUAAUUACCUGUUGAGCAACGACCGUGGUUAACUGCUCCAAAAUUGGCGAUAAAAGUGCCUCUGCCAUUUGUCUUUUUGGUUUAAUUUUAUUUUUAAAAAAGAGAUAAUUAUGAUGAUGAACUGAGAGAGAGAGAGAAGAGUGUGAGGGGAAGGAGGCUGCUGGUUGUGAAAUGAAGAGAGAGGGUUAGUUUAUGUACUUGGGGUUUGGUGAUGAGGGUUGACUAUUGUUUCCAUCCCUGUACUGUUUCUAACAUUUCAAUUCAGUCCCUGUAUUAUUGAACGUUUCAGUCUAGUCUCGGUCAGGGGUUUCCAUCUGCGGAUGGCUUUUCCUGAUUGUAUGUUUCUACUGAGAAUGACAUGCCAUUUUGAGUUCCAAAGGUGAAACACUCGUGCUUUUCUAACUUUUCCUGGCUAAGGAUUAUUAUUUGUGGAAAGUAAUUUCUUCUUCGAUUUAUAGCAAUUAUUUUGGAUUGAUACUGACCUUAGGUUAAGAAUGCUGUAGUUUCUACUGAAAUGUAUCUGAUACAGACCUUAGGGACAACUGAUUAUAGCAUUCUUCUCGUCUGCUUCUCUAUUUCUUCUCUUCAUUUUAUGUUAUUCCACUAGUCUUCCAAACUGGAUCACGGUGAUAUAUAUCUGUCCAUCCAAACUAAUUUACCCAAACCAAAAGUAGUAACCAAUUAGCUCGUGUAAUGGAACUAUAAACAAGCAUCUAUCUUUCUGGGUUUUUGAGAUCAGGUGAUUUUAUCCUGUUUUCAUAGCAGGGACUGGGGUUUGAUAUUGAUCUUUGAUUUUACCCAAACCAAAAGUUUGAAAGGAUUGCUGGUUUGUGUGAUUGGAGCUCCUUUCAAUGGGUGUGAAAAGGCCAAGAAAUGAGCAAGAUUUUCUGGAGGAAAGGAUUCAUAUUGUCUGGACUCAAUCACCUUCCUUUCUUCUUCUUCUUCUUUCUGCAGGAAAAAAGUAGAGCAGAGCAACCCUUUUUGACAGAGGCUAGUAAGUUGCAGAAGUUAGUAAGAAGUGGAUCAUUGAGCAACCAAAUAGCCAAGAUGUCUUAUUUCAAACCCAAGUACAGAUGAAUGCCGUAUUUUUAUUUUUCUAAGGAACUGCAUAUUUGUCCCCCCACUUCUUCUUUUUCUGUUGAAACAGCGACAGGGUACGUGUACUCUAGAAAAUAUUUAGAAUGGAAACAAAUAGAAAGUAGCUUAAAAUUGUGAAAAUAUUGUUUUUAAAUUGUUUAUUUCAAACCUAAUUAAUAAUAUGUUUUUGUUUUAGAUAGUUUUUGUGAUUCUGAUUUGAAAAAAAAUAAGUUUUAAAAAAGUACAGCUAGCUGUGAUUAAUUGAAUUUAAAUACGUGUUUAAUAAAAAUUAUGGUUAAAGUUUAUGUAUAAUAAAAAAUAUGUAUAAAAUAUUUGAUAGUUAUGUUUGAGACUGUGGUUGUGAUUGUUUUUUAAAGUGUUUUUUACAUUAAAAUAAUAUUUUUUUAUUUUAAAAAAAUUAUUUUUGAUAUCAGUGCAUCAAAAUGAUCUGAAAACACCAAAAAAAUAUAUUAAUUUGAAAUAAAAAAAAAUUGUUUUUUACCAGUAAAUCAAAGUGUUUUUUACCUCAUUUUUCCUUGAUUAAUUCUAACUACGAAACAGCUACUGCACCAACAAGAUGGAAAAGGCUCACCAAGAUGUUCUCUUUGAAAAGAUUCUCAAUGAGUCGUUGACAUCUCAUACUUGUCUAAAAAUUUUAAUCUUUUUUUGGAAAAGAUUCUCAGUGAGUCUGUCUCCUGGCUUAUUGAUCAACACUUUUAUCAUAUUGUGAACAAACAUGUCAAUUUCCAGAAUUUUAUUGAGUAGGAUGACUGUAUAGAAUUACUCUGAUUUAUCAACACAUAUCAAAUUCUUGCUGCUGCUGAGGAAGAUAUCCUGCACUUAGCCAUCAUAGAGGGUAGCAAGGUUUUGUGUUGAUGGUAAUUACACUGACUCAUCGUCUAUCAUCUAGAAUUCAAUUUUAAAAAAUAUUGCAAGAAAUGUUUUUUUUCCUAAAUACAUCGAUCGGGUGUGGAUAGAUUGAUUACAAAGCGACUUCCUAAAAAGUCUUGGUCUUAAUAUGCAAAGAUGAUCCAAGUAUGCCAUAUAUUAUUUUUUUAAAAUAAAACCCACAUAUCUAGUCCACGCAAAGGUACUCGAAUAUGGAUUUGUAAAAAUAAAAAUGAAUAUUUAUACGAAAUUGAAUUGUGCAAAUAAAACCCACAGAUCUAGUCCAUGAUCUACGGCUCCUCCAGAGUUCCGUAGUGGUGUCUUUCUCAACUAUUCUUUAAAUAAAAUGUUUGGGAUGUGAGAAAUCUUGUGCCUAUCUUCACCCCUCUCCUCCUUCCCGUAACGUUUCCUUAGAGAAUUUAUGUAGAGGCGCUGUCAAAACAUAGGCCGGUAGUGCUCUCAACAAUGGGCAUUUGAGAAUUCUAAACUCACAAGUUGUGGCAUGAUGAAUAUUGAAGUCGUGGUGGAAUCUUCUUCUCCCACUCUCCUUUCAAUCCCAUCCCACUCUUCUAGUUCUUUGAGAUGCCAAAUGCUGAGUUUUUUCAAUUUAGGGAAAGGAGAGUGGUAGUUUUUUCAAUUGGGGCAAUACUCUUCCAAUUCUCUUUCACUAAUAUUUAUUGGUGGAAAAAAUCACUGAUAGUAGUUUUAAAACACUCAAAGAAAAUAAAACAUAUUGUUUUAUUUCAACAACAAGAAGCUUACAAUAAUUAAACAAAAGCUUUUAAUACACACCCUCUUUUUCUCUCUAGUGUUCAUCUCUUAUCUUUCCCACACACAAUUACAUAAACUUACCUAUCUAUUUAUACACAAAUUAAAAGUAAAAAAAAAAAAAUCAAACUUCAAGUGUGAAGGCGGCUGGUGGCUAAACAGUGGGGUCCUUUUGUAUUUUGUCAAAAGAGAUGAAAUUAUAAUCAAUGAUGAUGAUAUAUAUAUAUAUAUAUAUAUAUAUAUAUAUAUAUAUAUAUAAACUACUAUGUGCAUUCUAUAAUUUAGUUAUAUAAUACAAUAGAUCUUUACAAUUAGUGAUUUCAACUUACCAAUAGAGAAAUUAUAGUAGAUCUUUACUAUGAUAUAUUCAAAAUAAAUAAAUAAAACAGGUAUACUUCAACACGCAUAUUAUACAUACACUUCUUUUUUAAAAAUUAAUCAUAAAAAAUUGAUUAGUUAUUUAUUAUAAAAAUCAGACCUGUAAGUUAUAUCUAAAUCAUUGAAAAUAGUAAAGGUAAACUAAUUAGAAGAGACAAUGUAUUUCAAAUUAGUUAAUUUAUAUAGAAUUAUUUUAGUUACUAAAUUAAAAAAUUCAAAUUUUUAUAUCACUUGGAAUACAUAAGGUGGAUUUAAUCCACAAAAUCGAUGGGUGAUAACCUCUAAGAUAUCGAUGGGUACAUAUAUGGUGGAUUUAAUCCACAAAAUCAAUAAGAGACCAAUCGGCUAGCUCCAAAAUCAAACCAUCUCCACCUCAUUCAAACACGAUUUAAAAUAAUCAACACCACCUUUUUAUACAAUGUGGGAUUAAUGAGGAUAUAAAUCCAAGGCUCCAACAUCCAAAGUCUCAAUCUUAGAUUUAUUAGCUAGUAUAGCAACGCCUCAUUGGCAAGAACCCAAAUCACUAAGCUCAAAUUACUAAUAAAAAUUAUAAAUUUUCAGAUAAUAUUUUUAAUAUUUAAUCUUUCUAGCAAUUGAUGAUAGCAAUUGCAAAUGAAUAGAGGAGGAAGCAUCGAGAUCAUUGGCUUGUUUGAAGGCAAAUGGACCCUUUGAUCGUUAGAUGAUGCAUCUAAAUGAGGCUCCACAUUAUAAAAGCGUAAUUAGGUGGCACGCGCUAUCCCACAAACUCACCUUAGAUUUUCAAAAUAAAAUUAGAUGGAGGAUCCAUGUCUAUUUGGGUCCUCCCUAGACAGGACCCCAACAUAUUCGGGUCCAGUAACGACCAGGUCCAAGUCUAGCGUUGGGCUAGGUUGGGUAGGACCCAAGGUUAUUUGGGUGUACCUGGCAGAAUCCAAGAUUGUUUUUGAGUCCUGCAACUAAUAAUUAUAUGUAAUUUCUAAAUGAAACUAAAUGUAAAAUUAAAUAUAAUUUGAUAAAAUUAUUAUAAACAUUUGGUAAAAUUAGUAAAUGAUAUAACAUUUUCUUUCAAAUUCAUCAAUUAUUUAAAUAUUAAGUACAAAAAAUACUCUUAUGAAUUUUGAUAAAAAUAAUAAUAUUUAUAAUACAACUGAUAACAUUUUUAGUAUUAAAUUAUUAAUUAAUAUAAAUAAUAUUAUUUAUAACACCAAAAAUAAUAAUAUUUUUGAGAUUAAUACUAUUAAUUAGACUAAAAAAUAAUAUUAAUAAAACAAAUAAUAAUAUUUCUAAUACUAAUACUAUUAAUUAUACUAAAAAUAUAUAUUAAUAAAAAUAUAAAAUACUCUUAAUAUUAAUUAUACUAAAAAAAUAUUAAUAAAACAAAUAAAUAUUUUAAUACUAACUUGUAAUUAUACUAAAAAUAUGGGCAGCCCAAGCGCUAAGUGAUGCUUGGACUACACUCAAGAGAAAUCAUAUUAUUUUAAAAUAUUUGUCCACUAAUUGCUAUUGAAUUUAAAAUAAAUAUACUUUUAAAACUAAUAUAAAGUUACCAAUAGUCGAUUUGAUAGCUGCUUGCAUAAAAUCUCAUUGAAUUUGGCCAAUGGUUUUUUAGAAUAAAGUAAAAAAAAAGUUAUUUCAAAACAUAACCAAAGUAGUUUUAGUUAUUUGUCAGAAACUAGUAUAUCCCAUAAAAAUCAGAGUUUUGGAUGAAAUAAAAUCAAUUCUAAAAUCAAACGCCGAUUGAAGCUUCAACGCAUUUGUGAACUAGAGAAUUUAAUUAUUAAACUCGUUUGUUUCGCGUUCAAAAAUAUUUUAAAAUUAUUUUAUUUUUUAUUUAUUUUUUUGUUUUUUAAAUUAAUAAUUUUUUUAGUAUAUUUAGAUCAUUUUAAUGUGUUUAUAUAAAAAAUAAUUUAUAAAAAAUAAAAAAAAUUAUUAUUUUAAUAUAUUUCUAAUAAAAAAUACUUUGAAAAAUAAUUAUAAUAAUACUGUCACACAUGCUGUUUAAUGUUUGUUCAAAAAUUGUGCUUUUUAAAAUAUGCAUUCUAACGCAAAGAAAGCAUAUAAAACACAUCAAAGUUGCAAAAGUACGUAGUUUUAAUUAUUAGCAAAAGUAUUCUAAAAUAUGAAAAGAUAGGUUUAAAUACCCUAAAUAUCCGUAAAUAACUAGAAAAAAAUUAAUAAAACUAAAAUCCAAAAUUAUCAAGGCAAAAAUCUAAAAUAUGGUCUGAAACUUCAAAGGCAAUUUUUUUAGAGUGGCAUUUGGAGAAUUUAAGUAAGGAAAAAGCUUCACGUGAGCGAGAUAAUAUCAUCUUAGAUUAAUUCUUUAACAUGUAAAAUUUAAGUCUAAUUCAAUAAUUAAAUAAAAAAUUACCUCUUCCUGCCGGUCUUAACUAUUCUUUAAAUAUAAACAUAUGAAUUACAUAUUAUUUUAUAUAUGUUGAGAGAGAGAGAGAGAGAGAGAGAGGAUGUAUACUAUAUAUAUCACAGCUGCCUUUGAUAGAAUAAAUGGUAAGUAGGAAAUACAAUCCAAAGUCAACAUUAUACAGUAAAGAGGUAUAUGAAACAUACCUCGUCCUGCCUGUCCUACAGAUUAUGGUAAGUCGGAAAUCGAAUUACAGUAAAGAGGUCACAUAGAGUAAAUAGUAAGGCUUACAUAUUAUUUACACUCAACCUUAGCAAACACCAAAGCAAAUAAUUAAUACACUCAGAACCAAAUCUUUUACCGUUAAGAAUUAACACUGGUGGAAGAAUUUAUCAUCAAAAUAAAUGUUUGGGAUGUGAGAAAUCUUUUGCCAAUCUUCACCCAUCUCCACCUCCUUCCCGUAACGUUAGAUUGGGGCAACCAUAUGCGUAGAUCCUGUAUAGGCGCUGCCAAAACAUAGUCUGGUAGUGCUCUCAACAACGGGCACCAACGAAUUGUCAACUGUCGAAGUUGUGGCAUAAUGGAUAUUAUUGAAGUUGUGUUGGCAUCUUCUUCUCCCACUCUCCUUUGAAUUCCAUCCCACUCUUCUACUUCUUCGAGAUCCCAAAUCUCAAGUUUUUUAAUUUGGGGAAAGCAGUGACCCUUGCAAUUUCUCCUUCCUUAAUACUGGCAUUCUCAUCUUUUUCUAUACCUAAAAAUCCACCAUCCAGCCUUCUCACCUUCAAAAGUACCAGGUGUUCAAGGUUGGGCAAUCUUCCCAACGGAGGCAAGAACUCCACGUUUUCACAAUAACGGAGUGUCAGCACCUGUAAUCUGGUCAAUGUCAUCAUCCAAUUUGGCAAUUCCAACCCUCCGUAACAAUAUAUGCUUAGAUCUUCCAAGUCUGACGGAGGCUGCAAAGCUUCAAUUAAAGAGCCUUCAUGCUCUGGCAACACUGUUUUCUCUCCGAAGAAAUUCAAUACCAAACGAAACAGGCGCUUCUUAUUCUUGAGUUGUGCUUCUGCAGCGUCACUCGCAUCUUCUUUACCUCCUCCUAGAUUCCGUAUCUGAAGACUCCCUCCAAUGUGAUUUAAGUUUUUUAAUUCUCUUAGAUUAGCUGCUUUACUUUCAUUCUCACCACCACCACACACAGUAAACACAUCUAAUGUACCAACAGGUGUGUGGCUCAAGUGGUGAAGGGGGCAGCUCUCCUUUCAUCGAACCCAGGUUCGAAUCCCAGUGGGAGUGGGGCUGGAGAGUUUGCUCUCUUCCUAUUUCUCUUGGGUCCUCCCUGUGCGGUAUCCCUGUCACCCCCGCGGUGUCUUACCUGCUCACUAGGGCUUGCAGGAUGUUCAGUGGGCCGUGGGAUUAGUCGUGGUGCGCGUAAGCUGGCCCGGACACCCACGUUAUCAAAAAAAAAAAAAAAAAAAAAAAAACACAUCUAAUGUUUAGUUAUAUAAUUGAUCAUCGUGGCUACAAAAUGAAGUGGAACUAAUAAUUAAUGGAGUGGAAUACUAAAUAAAAUGAAUUGCUAUGUGUAUUCUAUAAUUUAGUUAUAUAAUAUAGGCAGAUAUGUACAAAUUAGUCAUUUCAACUUAUCAAUAAAGAAAUUAUAAUAGAUUUUCACCGUGGUAUGAUCGCAAUAAAUAAAAUAAAAUAGAUAUAUCUCACAGCAUUAAUAAUUUUUUAGUUUUUGUUAAACAAUGUCAACAUAUAUAUAUAUAUUAUACAUACACUCAUUUCUUUAAAAAUAAUUAUAAUAAAAUUAAUUAGUUAUUUAUUAUAAAAACCUGACCUAUGAGUUAUGUCUAAGCUGUUAAAAAUAGUAAAAAUAAAAUAAUUUGAAAAUAGAAUUAUUAAUUAAUUUAUAUCAAGUUGUUUUAUUUAUUAAAUUAAAAAAUCCAAGUUUUAUAUCACCUAGAUUACUUAUGUUGGAUUUAAUCCAUAAAAUUGAUGGGUAUCAUCUCUUAUAUAUGAAUCGAUGGGUAUCAAGUUACAUGCCAUCUUGCAAAUUAGAAUAAUAGACCACUCGACUGGCUCCAAAAUCAAACCAUCUCCACCUCAUUCAACACGAUUUAAAAUAAUCAACACCACCUUUUUAUACAAUGUGGGAUUGAUGAGGAUAUAAAUCUACAGACUCCAACAUCCAAAGUCUCAAUCUUAGAGUUCUUAUCUGGUAUAGUAACGCCUCAUUGGCAAUAACCCAAAUCACUAAACCCUAAAUCACUAAUAAAAAUUACAAAUUUACACCGAAUUUGAACAAAUUUCUACCAGCCGAUGUCACUAAACUCAAAUUACUCCUAAAAAUCUCAAUAUAAACCCAUUAACUACUAGACCAACAACUCAUUGGCUAGAAUCCACGUUGCUUUUCCACAACAAUCAUCAGCUUCUUCAAUUAGGAUGCUACAAGCCCUUGUCUAUAUACUAGCUUAAAUUGCAACAACCUUUGAUUCCGAGAGAAGUUUGGCCUGAUCCAACGGUAGUCAAUGCGUGCUCAAUCUGUACUAGCUUUCUGGUAGGACUGAAAGUAGUGAGAGAAAAGGAGUACUGGCUAUCACCCAUGGUUUAUUGCUUGAAGACGCAGAGAGGAAAAACUGCGAAUGCGAGCGUGUGGGAGAGAAAGGCAAGGAUAUUUACUUGGGGUUUGAACUUUGCUUUUCUUGUUGGAGAAGGAGGAGUUUUCUUACGAGGGCUUUUACAAUGGAGUAUUUUGGGCUUUUAUGACGGCAGGUUGGUUCUCUUUACAUUGAGCUCAAUGAAGGCUUUAAUUUUUUAAACUUAACUUUAUCCGGGUCAGUUCACGGGAGAAGUUUAAUUUUUUUUUUUUUAAGAAAAUAAAAUAACAUUAUUUUUAGUACUUUUUUAAAAUGAUAUUUUACCUGAGUCCACAGGCGAUGUAUAAAGUUUUUUUUAUUUAAAAUAAUAUUUUUUUUUUAUUUUAAUAUUUACUUACUAUUUGUAUACUAAAACAGUAAAACAUGUGAGAUUUUCACUUUAUAUUUGUUACUGUGCAAAAUUUUAUUUUUUAGUUUAGUCCUCAAACUUUAUUUUUGAACUAUCAAGUCCUAUUUAAAAAACAAUUGAUUUUAAAUUCUGAUAAAAAAUUUGGAUUGGAAGAGAGGAACUGAAAUGAAAAACACGAUAGAUAUGGGUAACGCACCUUAAAUUUUUAAAACAUUCUCUUUGGUCUUCCAACUUAAACAAUCACACAAAUUAUAUAAUUUUGGUACCUCAAAAUUGUUCCAAUUCCAUUUUGGUGCGAAGAUUUAUUUUUGUUAUUUUCUAGUUCCUAAUUAAGAGAGGAGAGAAAGAAAGGGGUCACUAGAUUCCAAUAAUAAAAAGAGAAACUUGUCGUUGACACCAACUUAAACCACUAAAAUAAGGGAUCUUUAUGUCAAAUUAUUAGGGGAGUUCCUAUUAGAUGUUUUUGUAACUUAAAAGUUCAUGAAAAAAAGGAUCUAAACUCGGGUUAAUUUUUUUUAUUUUAGACUGUGUUUGGUUUUUUAGGCAGUUUUUUGGAUCUAGUAUGGUUUCCCGAUCCAAGUACCUAGGGUCUGGCAUAGUUGCUAUAAAAAUAUAACUUUAAAGAAUAUAAUUAAAAACAAAUAAAGUGACGUGAUUAGUUAAAAACUAAAAAUAAUAAUAAAAAAAAAGACUUAACCUCAUUUUUUUGUUGUUCAGAAGGCUUCUUUUAAAUAAUAUUAAUUUUUUUUAUGAGUUUAAUUUUCAGAGAGGUUUUCUAGUGUAUUUAUGGUUUUGUUUGUCUUUUAUAUAAAUAAAUUAUAUUUUGAAAAUAACAAAAUAUUUAUUUUCAGAUAAUAUUUUUAAUAUGUAGUCUUCGUAGUGAUUGAUGAUGCCAAUUGUAAAUGAAUGGAGGAGGAAGCAUCAAGAUCGUUAGCUUGUUUGAAGGCAGAUAGACCUUUGAUCAUUAGAUGAUGCCUCUAAACGAGGCUCCAUAUUAUAAAGGCAUAACAAAGAGAGGAUGAGAGAAAUAAUUAUAGACCAGUUAGGUGGUUUGUGCUACAUCGCGGGCUCACCUUUAAUUUCUAAAAUAAAACUGGGUGAGUACCCAAGUCUAUUUAGGUCCUUUUCAAAUAGGAGCCAAGCAUAUUUGGGUUCUAUCGCGGCCAAGCCAGGUAGGACCUAAGGUUAUUUGGGUCAUGUACCUGGCAGGACCCAAGGUUAUUUUUGAGUCCUACAACUAAUAAUUUGUAUUUAAUUUUUAAAUAAAACUAAAUGUAAAAUUAAGUAUAAUUUGAUAAAAUUAUUAUUACAAUACAUUUGGUAAAAUUAAUAAAUGAUAUAACAUUUUCUUUCAAAUUCAUAAAUUAUUUUAUUAAUAAUAUUAAUUACAAUAAAAUAUACUCUUAUAAAUUUUAAUAAAAAUAAUAAUAUUUAUAAUACAACUGAUAAAAUUUUUAGUAUUAAUAUUAUUAAUUAAUAUAAACAUAAUAUUAUUUAUAACACCAAAAAUAAUAAUAUUUUUGAGAUUAAUACUAUAAAUUAGACUAAAAAAUAAUAGUAAUAAAACAAAUAAUAAUAUUUUUAAUACUAAUACUCUUAAUAUUAAUUAUACUAAAAAAAACUAUUAAUAAAAAAAAUAAUAUUUCUAAUACUAAUAUUUGGAAUUAUACUAAAAGUAUGUACGGGCAGCCCAAGCGUUAAGUGGCGCUUGAACUGCACUCAAGAAAAAGCAUAUUAUUUUAAAAUAUUAUUUGUCCACUAAUUGCUAAUAUAAAUACACUUUUAAAACUAAUAUAAAGUCACCCAGAGUCAAUUUGAUAGCUGCUUGCAUAAAAUCUCAUUGAAUGUGGCCAAUGUUUUUUAGAAUAAAGUGAAAUAAAAAGUUAUUUCAAAACAUAACCACAGUAGUUUUUAAUUAUUGGUCUAGAAACUUUAGUAUAUCUCAUAAAAUCCAUGAGUUUUGGAUGAAAUAAAAUCAAUUCUAAAAUCAAACUCCGAUUGAAGCUUCAACUGCAUUUGUGAGCUAGAAAAUUUAACUUAUUAAGUUAGGUUUGUUUUUGCAUUUUAAAAGCGUUUUUAAAAAUUUUAAAUUUAUUUUAUUUUUUUCUUUGCUUUAAAUUAUUUUUUUUUUGUGUUUUUAGAUCAUUUUGAUGCGCGAAUAUCAAAAAUAAUUUUUAAAAAAUAAAAAAAAUAUUAUUUUGAUAUAUUUCUAAGUAAAAAUCAUUUUAAAAAGUAAUCACAACAAUAUUUUCACACAAUCUCUUCAAAACUUGUGCUUUUUAAAACAUGCAUUCAAACGCAAAGAAAGCAUAUAAAACACAUCAAAGUUGCAAAAGUAUGUAGUUUUAAUUAUUAGCAAAAGGGUUUAAAUACCCUAAAUAUCCGUAAAUAACUAGAAAACAAUUAAUAAAAAAAUAAUAAAACUAAAAUCCAAAAUUUUCAAGGAGAAAAUCUAAAAUAUGGUCUGAAAUUUCAAAGGCAGCUUUUUUAGAGUGGCAUUUGGAGAAUUUAAGUGAGGAAUAAGCUUCACGUGAGCGAGAUAAUAUCAUCUUAGAUUAAUUUUUUUAACAUGUAAAAUUUAAGUCUAAUUCAAUAAUUAAAUAAAAAAAAUUACCUCUUCCUGCCUGUCUUAACUAUUCUUUACAUAUGAACAUAUGAAUUACAUAUUAUUUUAUGUUGAGAGAGAGAAAGAGAGAGAGAGAGAGAGAGAGAGAGGAUGUGAGAGAGAGAGAGGGGUGUAUAUAUAUAUCACAGCUGCAUUUGAUAGAAUAAAUGGUAAGCAGGAAAUACAAUCCAAAGUCAACAUUAUACAGAUAUUUGACUCACAAUAAAUCAUCCAUACUCUUAUAAAAAAUAAAGAUGGGUAAACUCUUAAUUAGGCCUUGCUGCUGAAUUUUGUUGUUGAUUUGUAAUUUAAUUAUUGUUGAAGAUUUUUUGUGUUGGCAACCCAAACUAUCAUUGUGUUGGGUUUGGAUAACUUUAUUUGGAUUUAAUCUCCAAAAUCGAUGGGUAUCAUCACUUAUAGAUGAAUGGUUUAGCUUCUCUCAUUUUUUUGGAUUUAAUCCACUGAAACUGAGGUUUAAGAAUUUCUUGGAUUUAAUCCACUGAAACAGUUGCUUGAUCAAGAUCAUUGGCUUGUUUGAAGGCAGAUAAAGGCUUAAAAAAGAAGAAGCAAAUAUCAUCUUAGUUGAAAUUUCAAAGGCAAUUUUUUAGAGUAAAGAGGAAAUAAUUAAUACACUCAAAGCAGGUUCUAAAGAGUUCUGUCUUUCUCACCAAACAUGCAAAUAAAUCUUUGGGAUGUGAGAAAUCUUUUGCCAAUCUUCACCCAUCUCCUCCUUCCUACAGCUGUAACGUUUCCUUAGAAUGGGGCAACCCCUUAUCCCCAAUGCCUGCAGAGGCGCUGCCAAAACAUAGUCUGGUAGUGCUCUCAACAAUUGGCAAUAUUCAAUUCCCAAGUACUGAAGUUGUGGCAUAAUGGAUAUUAUUGAAGUUGUGUUGGCAUCUUCUUCUCCCACUCUCCUUUCCUUCCCACUCUUCUACUUCUCCGAGACCGUCCAUCCAAAGUUUUUUUAAUUUGGGGAAAGCAGUGACCCUUGCAAUUUCUCCUUCAUUAAUACUGGCCUUCUCAUCUUUUUCUAUACCUAAAAAUCCAGCAUCCAACCUUCUCACCUUCAUUGAGCUCAAUACCAGGCUUUCAAGGUUGGGCAAUCUUCCCAACGGAGGCAAGACCUCCACGUUUUCACAAUCACGGAGUGUAAGCUUCUGUAAUCUGGUUAAUGUCAUCAUCCAAUUUGGCAAAUCCAACCCUCCGUAGCUAUACAUGGUUAGAUUUUCCAAGUCUGACGGAGGCUGUAAAACUUCAAGUAAAAUGUCGUUCUCCCGGUUGAAGUCAAAAUCCAAUUGCAAACAAAGCAGGCGCUUCUUAUUCUUGAGUUGUGCUUCUGCAGCGUCACUCGCAUCUUCUUUACCUCCUCCUAGAUUCCGUAUACGAAGACUCCCUCCAAUGUGAUUUAAGUCUUUUAAUUCUCUUAGAUUAGCUGCUUUACUUUCAUUCUCACCACCACCACACACAGUAACACAUCUAAUGUUUGAAGACAUGUUAUCCUCUCUACUCCCUUUGGUAUGAAGGCCACACCUGAAAGAACAACCCGGAGAUGCCUCAAUUUGAUAAGUUUUCCAAUCGCAUUAGGCAAUUCCUUGAGAGAAGCACACAGAGUAACGUCUAGGGAUUGCAGAUUGCAUAAAUCACACAUGGUUUCUGGCAGGGACUCCAACUGAUAACAAGAUGCCACAUUGAGGUGUCUCAAAUGUAUCAAAUUCCCUACCUCGUUUGGUAUUUCUUUGAUUGAAGACCUUGUCAAAUUCAAUGACCUGAUGCAUGUCAACUGCUUGAACAAAUCAGGCAGUGCAACUCCAAGCGAAGGGUCUCUAGUGUCCAUCAAGAGGCUGCGAAGACCUUUUGCUUUGUGAAUGGACUUGGGAAACGAGCUCUCCUCUGACAGCAUCAUGCUUAAAUGACGAACCCUUUCAAUUGAAGUCUCCACUGUUGCUUUUCCAAGUUUACUGGCAUCCACUGUUAGACAUUCAUUUUUUGUCAUAUAUUGGGAAAAAUCAUGCACUAUAUCAUGCAUCUUGAAUUUCAUUCCUUCACACCAAUCCAUCUCAAAAUCUUGGAAGAAAGAACGCGCUGCUAAGACUUGAAAGUACUGCUCUCCUACACCCGAAGUCUCCUUGAGGUAACCUUGAGCUAUCCACAUCUUCACCAAUUCAUAUUUUCCCAUCUUGUAGUCUUUUGGAAACAUGGCACAAUACAAGAAACAUCGUCUUACCACAGAAGGUAAAUCGUAGUAACUCAAAAGCAAAGGUAUAAAUAUGCGUCUUUCAACCUGAUCUCUAUCAACCUCAUCUAGCCUCCACAGUUCGCUAGAUAAAACACGUUCCCACUCUUCUCUUGUUAUUUUAGACUGCAUUAGACCGCCUAAUACCUUGGCAGCUAGAGGGAAGCCCUUGCACUUGUUUGCAAUUUUAUCUCCGAUAUCUGUCAAUCUUUCGCACUCAUCUUCGCUUCUUUCCUGGAAUGCCACAUGAUUGAAUAUUGAACUGCAUAUCUCAUCGGACAAUUUCUCAAUGUUGAUCCGGUGGUCAGUUCCCAUCAUCGUUGCCACAGCGUCCUUACGAGUGGUCACUAGAAUUCUGCUUCCUCGUGCACAGCCUGUGAGAGAUGGUUUCAGUUGUUCCCAUUGUCCAUGAUUUUCUGUCCAGACAUCAUCAAGGACAAGAAGGAACCUCUUUCCCUUAAUGGAUUCAGAAACCCUUCGCAAAAGGGAUUGCAAUCCUACCAAAUCAGAUGCCCUCCCUUCAAGCUCCUCAAGGAUACCUUUGGCUAUUCUAACCUCAUCAAAUGGUUCUGAAACACACACCCAUAUCUUUUUCUCAAAAUGAGCCGUAACCUCAGCAUCAUUAAAAGCUAGUUGGGCGAGAGUUGUUUUUCCAAUUCCGCCCAGCCCUACUACAGAGAUGACAUCCACGUCCCGUGCUUCUUGACUACUUUCAGCCAGCAACUUGCUUACAACAUUUCUCUUUUCACCAUCUCGACCAAUCACGCUUGAUUCAUCAAACAAAGGAGGUAGUUGUUAGUCGCUGGAGUUCAUCAGUGGCUUUGUACAGAUCAAAGCCAUACUUAGCUCUCUGUUUGGCAAUGUCAUCCACUUUUUCACAAACUUCUUUGAUCUUCAGGGCAAUGCCGCGACGUCGAACCACUUGAUUGAAACAAAAGCAAGGAGAUCCCAGGAAGGAACACCGUAUCUUCUGUCGGCUGUGAGUAUUUUCUUCAGCUUCCUCCAUUUUCCAUCUAAGAAUUGCAGUGCUCCAUUCAUCUAGCACGUCAUUCAUAUCAUAACAUGCAUCUUUGAGCUUGUCUACCCAAUAUCUUACAGCCUUAUCCUUAACUUGUUUUCUAUCUGCAUCUUCAAGGACAGACUGGAUAUCAAGGAGAUUGCUUUUCAGCCUGUCGACUUGUUUCUUCACACCCACUACUAGGUUCACCUCUUCUUGUACCUAUUAGUGUACAAAAGAUAAGGAAGUUCAGGCAGAGGAAACAUUUCUAUGAUUUCACUGCAAAUUUUUAAUUUUAAUUUUUUGUAAUUAAUAGAUUAAUAAUUUUUUUUAAUCUUUUUUUCGCAGUAGCUGACACGUACAGUGAAAUGGAUUUGCUAUAUUAAAAUAUAUAUUAAAAUCCUAUAUAUUAAAGAUAAUAAUAUUUCUUUUUAUCAUCAUCAUGAUGAUAUCUGCCUGCACUCUGCUACUAUACAAGAAGGAAGAAACCUAUAUAUAACAUAAGCUUGUUGGAUCAAAGAAACAUAGAGAAUGAAAGGAUCUGUAUUUGUUGGUAUUUGUAAAGUCUAUAGUUUUAAAGUGAAAAAUAUUCUUCCUUCAUAACACUCACUAAUUAUUUUAACAUUUGAUUGAUUAUUUUACAGUUUAGUGAGAGGAUCGACAACUACUACUCCUUUUUCCUUCUAAGGAUAUUUGUUUUAGAUUAUUUCCGGAAAUAUGAAAAACAAUAAAACAAUAAAAAGAAAUUUCUUUAAUAAAAUCCAAAUCUAGAUCUGAGGAUUUGAUAUUUUAUUUUAUUUUUCUAAUAAAGGAAGAAAAAGAGACUUCAUUUUUAUAUUUCUUAUUCAUGUAAGGGUUAAUUAGAUCGUUGCAAAUUUUACAGUUAAGCAGUAGUUUGCUGAUUGAAAUGACUGUAAAUGGAUCCCAAUUGGAAACUGUCAUAAUUGAACUGCGAGCUCCGUUUUAUGUUUCUUCAGAACAUCAGUUUCCAUCGUGAUGCCUUCUUCCUUCAUCAAAAAGUGGGCAAAAUCAUAGGAGUAUGUGUCGCCUCUUCAACUUUAAAGAGUCCUCCUUCUUUUCUUGAAAAUCCUGGAAAAAAAGCUAAGAUUUUGAAGUACUCCUUACCAGCCAGCUCCAUUUGAUCUGUAUGGAAACGGACAGCUCUCCAUCAAUCAGCAACGGAGGGGUAGGGAGGUGAAGAAGAGAGGGAAUAGAUGAAAUCCCUAAUAGUAGCUUGGUGUUUUUUGUUCCAAUGACCAAACCAGAUAAUGUACGAGUUGACAGGUGCAGCCAGAACAGGCCCCUAGAAAAGCAACUGAAGGUCUACUACAUCAGAUGACCCUUCAUAGUUCUUGGCCCGGUUGAAUAGGUCGUCUAGACAAACAAAACAGAGAGAGCAAGAGUACAUUGUGUAGCAUAAGCUUAUUAUGCAUUUAAGUCUUUAGACUUUUUUUAUUAUUAUUAUUAACGUAGGUGUCCAGGUCAGCUUCCGCGCACCUUGAUUAAUCUCACGGGCACAUUGUCAGAAAUUACAGCAAGAAAUUCUGUAAUUAUUGUAAGAAAGAAGGGCAUGUAAUCAAGGAAUGUCGUCUGCGACCACAAAAUCGACAAGGAUUUACUGUGCAGUCGAAAUUGGGGGCUGCUUUUAUGGCCGCCGAAGCCGUGUCCUCACCAUCGACACUGGAAUCUUCAUCGUCGGUGAGCUCUUCGUCGAGCACUCUCACUCCCGAGAUGGUGCAGUAGAUGAUAAUAUCUACCUUCUCUGCACUCGGGAUUUCUGGUAAGAAAAAUAAACUUAACUUUCCCUUAGAUUCAGCACAUAAUAAACAAUGGUUAAUGGAUUUGGCAUCGUCUAAUCACAUGACCAACAGUGAAAAUGGGUUGUGUAAUGUGCUAAAAUACAUGGGUAAUUAGCAUAUACAGGUAGCAAAUGGUGAUAAUCUGCCAAUUUUGUCGAUUGGUAAUUUGGGGUCUUACUUCAAUAAUAUUUUUGUGUCACCAAAAUUAUCAACAAGUUUACUCUCUGUUGGUCAAAUGGUAGAAAAUAACUGUGAAAUUCACUUUGAUCAUCAUGGUUGUUGUGUGCAGGAUCAAGUGUCGGGGGAAGGUAAUCGCGAAGGGGCCUAAAGUGGGACGUUUAUUUCCAAUACAAUUUUCUAUUCCUAGUAUUAAUUCUUGUGCUUAUUCUACUCUCAUUCAUAAUCCUCAUUUUUGGCAUAAGAAAUUAGGGCAUUCUAAUUCUAAUGUAUUGACUUAUCUUAUGAAACAUGGAUAUUUGGGGAAUAUAAACUCUUUUUCAACAGAAUUUUUGGAUUGUAGUUCUUGCAAAUUGGGUAAAAGCAAAGCAUUAUCAUUCCCUUCACAUGGUAGUUGUGCUUCUAAAUGUUUUGAAAUUAUUCAUACUGAUGUAUGGGGCAUAAGCCCUGUUAUCUCUCAUGCUAAGUAUAAAUAUUUUGUCACGUUUGUUGCUACCUAAUUUUUGAUAAAUUUUCAGAAAAAUCAAAAAUAGCAAAAAAAACAAAGAAAAACCCAAAAAUAUAUUUUUGAUGUAUUUGCAUCGUUUUUAGCAUUUUCAAUGCCAUCUCAAAAGAAUUUAAAUUUUUAAAGGAAUUUUGGAACGCGUUCAACUUUUAACGCGUAAAAUUUUAUGAUCACUGAUUUUUAUUUUUGAGUUGACGGUGAUAUUGCUCGCUUUCGAAAACACAAAAAAAGAGAGAAAAUCAAAAUUUAAGAAAAAAAAGAGGAAAAGUUGAGGGACCAUUGUGAUUUUGGCCAUGCCACAUUUCUCCUAUAAAUACUAAGCUACAGUAAUGAACCAAGGGGCGAAAAAUAGACACAGGGAGAAAAAUGGUUUCACGGGGGAGAAAUUUACAUGGGGGGAAAGGCAAGUAGAAAAAAACCCUAAAGCCAAAAAAAAAAACCUAGAAACUAAAAAAACCCUUUCUUCCCCGGCAGCCGCCCUUGGCCUUUGAAAAAAACCUAGAACUAAUGAUUUUCUUCCUUAGCCACAACGCUGACCUCUCUUUUUGAAAAAGGGAGGAACAGACCGCCGCUGCAGAGUCUUUGAAAGGAAAAAGUCACCUGGCUAGGCGUUUCAAACAGCCCCGCCUCUCCUCUCUCCUUUUCUUCUCCCGAAACUAGCCAAAACUGACCCUCUCACUCUCAGCACAAAGCAGCCGCCCCCUUUACCCCCAUCUUCUUCUCCCUCAACCGACAGAUCUCACCCUCCAAUAGCAACCCCUCUUGCACGAAAAAACCCAGAGAAACCGUCCCUAAGCUCUCCAUUUUCCCUGCAGGAGGAGAGAAACCCACCGGACACAAGCCUUCUCCAGGUCUCCCCCGGAGCCGCCGCCCCCCAUCGUCUUGGAUUUGUUUCUCUCCCGAGACCAGCCGGCCACUCAUUUUUUCCCUUGGCUUGCUAAACAAAGCGGAGAAACUGGAGAGCAUCAGACUGACCUCUCUCUCCCUCGGCCGACCACCAUCAACCGGUCAACAGCAGCAUCUUCCCUUCUCCUGCAGCUCGUUACAGAGACAAUGAGAAGGGAGGCCAGAGGAUAGUGAAGAAGGGGCAGAAAACCGAAGCUUGGAUGGGCGCCGAUCUCGCAACCAUGGCAGCGGUGGACAACACCACCGUUGCAGAAACGAAAUGGGAGGAAGGGAAGUUGCUGAUCCAGCCAUCCACACGCCUGGUCUGUGGGCGGCGCGUGUAACGCCCAGCUUCAGAUUCGGCAGAUUUGAAGAAAAGAGAGGAGAAGCAGAUCCGAAAACAGUGAUUGAAAAAUAACUAAAAUCAGCUGGCUUUUUGUGCUUUGAUUUUUCUUUGCAGGUCACCACCGGUGGAAGAGGGGAUGAGGCCGUUGAAGACCCCCUGUGUUGUGUGGAUUUUUGCGGCGGCGCGUGGAUGCACGCGCCGCUACUGUUCAGGCAGCUCCAAAAAUUGUUUUCCUGAAUUUUUGGGACUAUUCUGUAAUUUUCAAUUAUGUGAUGUAAUUUUUGUUUAGUUUUGAAUUUUUUAUUUGUAUGUUGUGAAUUUGAAUGUAACAAAAAAAACAAAAAAAAAAGAAAGAAGAGAAAGGAAAAGAAAAAUAAAUAAUAUAAAGAAAGUUGUGUGUGUGUUUGUUUUUUUAUUUAUGUUAUUGAAUUAUAAAAAUAAAAAAAGGACAAAAAGAAUUAUUUGUUUAAUUUGAAUAUGGUUAAAUAUUUAAGGACAAAUAAAAUUAUGUUAUAUUUUCUAUGAAAGUGUAAGAACAUGUUUUUACACGUAUUCAGGGAUUUAAUAAUUGAUUUAUUAAAGUCUUAGAAUUUGAUUAAUAUUUUAAAUUUUCAAAUCAUAUCAAACCACGAAGCAGCUUAGCUCAGGUAGGGUGCUGUAGGGGUACUAAUACCUUUUCUAGCCACAAUCAGUCCCUUACCCUAGAAUCUCUGACCACGACCAGUAAAUCAUGGUUUUCUAGUAACCCUCUAUUAAAUACUAGGUGGCGACUCUCAAAGAACCAAUCAAGCAAAGACAACGAAAAAUUGCCAAAUCACCGCGUGGGGGACGUGCGACAAUGUUUAUUGAUGAUUUCAGUCGUUUCACUUGGAUAUAUUUUCUUCGAUCUAAGACUGAUUUAUUCUUAACAUUUCAGGCUUUCGUUGUAUUUAUUGAAAAUCAAUUUUCUACUCAUAUUAAAAUACUUUGUUCUGACUCCGGGGGGGAAUAUGUGUCCAAAGAACUUCAGGAAUAUCUCAAAAACAAAGGGAUUCUCUCUCAAAGAUCUUGUCCUUACAUUCCUUAACAAAAUGGAGUUGCUGAGCGUAAGAAUCCUCAUCUUUUAGAUGUUCGCACCUUAUUAAUUGAUUCUUUGGUACCUACUCGAUUUUGGGUAGAAGCACUGUCCACAGUCGUUCAUCUAAUUAAUUGUUUGCCUUCACAAGUACUAAACUUUGCAUCUCCAUACUCUAUUUUAUUUGGUGUUAUUCCUAAGUAUGAUUCUCUCCGUGUUUUUGGGUGUGUUUGUUUUGUUCACUUACCAUCUACUGAACGUAAUAAACUUUUAGCCCAAGCUGCUCGUUGUGCUUUUCUAGGAUACAAUAAUUUUCAUAAAGGAUUUGUGUGUUAUGAUGCAAAUGCUCAUAAAAUUCAUCUCUUGAAAUGUAAUUUUUUUUUUAAAUCAGAAUUUUUUCCCUUCUUAUCCCUCUACAAAAUCCACUCCUAUCCAACUUCCCACAUUUGAUGAUCAUAGUCCAUCUUAUAUCUUUGAAUGUUUUAAGCCAGGAAUUGUAUAUCAAAGACGUCAUCCACCAUCCAUUUUGCCCCUUCCGGACACGAAACCGGCAUCUGAUCAUUCCCCUCAACUAAGACGAUCAACUCGAGUUUCACGUGCCCCAAACAGGUAUGGAUACUAUCAGCAACUACUAUUGAUAGUACUUUUGUGCCUAAGACUUAUGCCCAGGCUUCUACCCAAGACUGUUGGCAACAGGCCAUGAAAGAGGAACUUCAGGCUCUUCAGGAUAAUCACACAUGAGAUAUUGUUUCUUGUCCUACCGGAAUUAAACCUAUUGGCUGCAAAUGGCUAUACGAAAUUAAAGCACGGUUGGUGGCUCUUGGAAAUUGUCAGGCAUAUGGUAUUAAUUAUGAGGAGACAUUUGCACCUGUGGCUAAAAUGACUACCAUACGAACCAUUAUGACAAUUGUUGCUUCCAAAAGAUGGCCACUUCAUCAAAUGGAUGUAAAAAAUGCAUUUUUACAUAGAGACUUGAAAGAGAAUAUUUAUAUGACUCCUCCUUCUGGUAUGUUUACUCACUCAUCCGAUAAAGUCUGCUGGUUGAAACGGUCCCUGUAUGGUCUAAAACAGGCACCCCGGGCAUGGUUUGAAAAAUUUCGCACUACUCUUUAGAAACUUAAAUUUAUUCAGAGCCAAUAUGAUUCCUCUAUGUUUCUUCAGCAAACUACUACUGGUAUUGUUGCUCUUCUGGUAUAUGUUGAUGAUAUUAUCAUUACAGGAUCCGACAUUCCACUCAUUGAGGAUUUACAACAUUCUCUUAACAGUGAAUUUCAUAUGAAGGAUCUGGAACACCUUCACUAUUUCCUUGGUCUACCGGUGCACUCUAUGUCCAGUAGGAUUUCUCUACAUCAGCACAAAUACACCCAAGAGAUUCUUCUUUUGGGCGUUCUUGAAUCAGGGAAUAUCGUUCUUACACCUCUCGAGAUUAAUUUAAAACUUUGUCAUAAUGAUGGUGACCUGUUACCUGAUCCCUCCAUAUACAAGCAGUUGGUGGGCAGUUUGAAUUAUCUAACCAUUACUCGGCCAAAUAUUUCUUUUGUAGUACAACAAGUCAGUCAAUUUUUACAGGCUCCUCGUCAACCUCAUUUAGCUGUUGUCCGAAGAAUUCUUCGCUAUCUUAAAGUCACAUCUGGGCGAGGAUAAUUUUUUCCUGCUGAUAAUUCAUUACAAUUAACAAGUUAUAGUGAUGCAGAUUGGGCAGGGUGCGUGGAUACACGUCGGUCUGUUACUGGGUGGUGUAAGUUUCUUGGAAAUGCUUUGAUUUCAUGGAAAAGCAAAAAGCAAGACCGAAUCUCAAAAUCUUCCAUAGAAUCUGAGUAUCGAGCUAUGUCCUCCGCAUGUUCUGAAAUUGUGUGGCUUCAGGGUUUGCUACGUGAACUUGGUUUUCCUCAGCACACUCCUACACCUCUUCAUGCUGAUAACACAAGUGCUAUUUAGAUUGCUACUAAUCAUGUGUUUCAUGAACGCACCAAACAUAUUGAAGUUGAUUGUCACUACAUUCGUGAAGCUUUUGAUCAUAAUAUUCUUACACUACCUUAUAUUUCCACCGAGCAUCAGACAACUGAUGUCUUUACGAAGGCCUUGUCUCGGCCUCGACAUCAACUCAUGAUAGACAAAUUGAUGCUUCUUGAUCGGCUAGCAUCAAUUUGAGAGGGGAUGUCAUUGUAUAUUAUGGCAAGAAUAUCAAUACUAUAUGGCAACCAAAUUGUAACAGAAUAUCUUGUAUUUAUUAUAGACUACAAAUCAGGGAUUAGAGACAGUAAAUUAGUGAUUAUUACAUGUAUUUAGAGGAUUGAAUUCCUCCUUCUGAAGUCAUUAAUUGAGAGAACAAUUUUACAUUGAAAUUUGAUAUUUGUGACAUGUGACUUGGUGAGAUUCUUCAUUUAUUAUUAUUUCCUUGUGGUGGACACAAUGGUUUACGUAGAUGAACUGAAUUCUUGCAUGACAACAACAAAAUAAGUGUGAUUCAGCACUGUCAAGAAAAAGGUAGAGCAGAGCAACCCUUUUUGACGGAGGCUAAUAAGUUGCAAAAGUUAGUAAGAAGUGGCUCAUUGAGCAACCAAUUAGCCAAGAUGUCUUAUUUCAAACCCUCGUACAGAGGAAUGCCGUAUUUUUAUUUUUCUAAGGAACUGCAUUUUUGUCCCCCUCUUCUCCUUCUUUUUUCCUGUUGAAACAGCAACAGGGUACAUCUACUCCAUGUCAAAGUCUAGUCUAUAACCAGACCAGUAAAGAACAUUGACUUACAAGGAGUUCCAUUGAAGUUUCGAUUAUGAGCAGGCAUGCUUCUAUCCCAAUUUACCACUCUGGGUCAGAUUUCACACUUAUCAGAGCACUGUGAUGACAACAGCAGAAACUAUCUAAUUUCCCACCAAACAUAAAGAGAGCUUUGAAUCUACACACCCGCCAGUUAUAAUCAUUCAAGACAGAUAUGUUAGCUAUAGUUAAGGCCAGAGAGAAACACAAGCUAAAAAAAAAUGCACCUUCUAAUUACCGAGAAGCAUGCAGAAAAAAACCUGUAGACAACUCCAAUAUUGGGUGUCAGAUUCUGUAUUUUCUGAACCUGAAACAACAAGCAAUUAAAUACCAUCAACAACCAACUCAAGUUCUAUACUAUCUUGCAAGUUAUAUACCAUCAAUGAAAUAGUUUUUAUUUAAAGGGAUUAAAAUGACAUCUUUUUACCAAAAUUGUUUUUUCCAAAAAACAUUCAAUAAUAUUUAACCAAGUUUUACCCGAGUCCAUAUAAUUUGAAAGUAAUAAAUCAUAUCAAAUUUCUUUAAAUUAUUAAAUUGGAUCCUUAAUUUUCAAUUCGUCAAAUUAUUAAAUUGGAUCUUCAAUCUCUUUUAUAGGGGGUUUGGUGUCACUGCUUAACUUAAUUAUGAUACUAUAUAUAGUGACCAUUUGUGAUAAUUCUGUUGCAGAUUAAAAAUAUUUAGCGACAUUAAAAGUGUCGUUAAAUAUAUUUUGAAGAGCCAUUACAUGUUGUUUUUUGUUUUUUGUAGUGCAACGAUAGUAAAACAUUAUGUUAAUUUUAGCAACACACCGUGACCAAAUCCAAUGAAGAAACCUAAUAAUCAAAGAAAAUUAGAAAUUUUAAAAUUGAUAUUGGAUUUUUAAAGAUUCAGAUAUUAGGUUAACAUCACAUUUACUAUAACCUUUUAAAUAAAAAAUUAUCAUUGUUUAUGUUUUUCUAAAUUAUUUUAUGCUAUUAUAUUUUUAUUUAUAAUUUAUUUAAGAAUAGACACCGGUUUCUUAGAAUAAAAAACUUGUAAAUUUUUUUGUCAUCCCUAAAAACCAAAGAGUCCAUAGCUUGUCAUUUUAUGACACUAGCCUUGCUAUGUAUAUAUAAUCUCCACGGUUAUAAAAACCAAUAUCUAAAUAGAAGAUUUCAUUAAUUUUUUUACAUUAAUCCCUGAAGACAGUAGAUUUUGUAAUUUCUUGAAUUUUAAUAAAAACUUUGAUGUUAAUCCCUUAAGAUAGAAGAUUUCAUCACUUUUUAAGAUUUAAUGAAAAUUUUGAUGAUAUUCACUAAAAUAGAAGAUUUCAUCAUUUUUUUAAUUUAUAACAAAAUUUUGACGUUAUCUCUAAAAAGUUUUUGUUGUAUAGUAAAAUGGUUUUUAUACAGUAAAAUCCAGUUCCCAUACAGUAGUGUAUAACCUUUUCGGUUUUUAGUAUGGUUUGUUUCUUUGGCUGCUUUUCCAAGAUAAAGUCUUCAUCCGUGAUUUCUUGUUUCAGCAUGAUUUCUUUUCUCUUCAGCAAGCUAGAUGUAUGUUUUGUAAAAGAAGAUUUGAAACUUCAAGCCAUCUCUUCAUUCAUUGUGUUUUUGCCUGGAAGUUAUGAAUGAAAUUCCUAUUUUGGUGGGGGAAUUAGUGAUUCUUUCCCAAAUUCUAUUGAUGAUAUAAUCUACAAAUGAUGCAAGGAAAAUUUCAGAAUCUUUCAUGAUGACAACUUCUCUUUUCUUGUAUUGCAUGGAGUCUAUGGCUACAUUGAAAUGAUGUAAUCUUCAAUGAUGCUAUUCCAGAUCUUAAGGGUUGUUUUUACUUUAUCGAUCCUCCACAGGUUCUCCUUAUGGUUGAAGUUUGAUAGCACAACUUUUGCUUACACCGGUUUGGAUUUAGGGAUCAACUCUGAUGGGAUCUUUUUCGGGGAUAACAGAAGUUGACUUCUUGUUUUUAUCUAUUGUCUGGUCCCUGUUUUCUUCUUCCUGUUAUAGAGUAGAUACCGUGAUUUAGGGAUCAACUAAGGUUCACUGUUGGUUUCUAUGCAAGGCAAGAUUGAGAGUUAUGUGAAUAUAUGAGUUGGAAGGUUAGAGUAAAUGCUGGAUGGUAUUUUUUAUUUUUCCCUCUCAUUGGCGCUGCUCACCAAUAGCUCGGGUGCAUUUGAUGCUGAUGGAGAUGGAACCGAAGCUUAUAUAUUCAGCCACUUCACAUGCUUUUUUUCUUUUAACAGUCGAGUGUAUUAUAAGAAAAUGGCUAAAAAGAUAAUAGCCUAGCAUCCAGAAGUUCUAGCUGACCACAAAAAAAAAAAAAAAAAGCAAACAAGCUUUAGAGGUUUUGAAACAGGGGAAGGAAAACAGUGUGGGAAAAGGAAAAAAACAAUUGAAAUCAGCUCCUCCUUUUUACAAAACCAAUGCCAUCAUAGCUGUUAUGAACAUCCUCGCCAGCAGAGUCUGGAGAAUUGGUAUCAAGUCUCAGCCAUAAUGAGAAACUGCCGAAGAUCAAGGAAAAACAGCUUUGAAGGUUUGGAGCAGCCCUAUUAAAGAUGAUAUCUCCAUAGAAAACCAUUAGUAGUACAUAUCAUCAAUCGAUUUUGUGAAAACAUUGAUAAUACCCCACCGUGAAGGAAUUUCAUUCAUAGAUGCCAAGCAAAGUGGCAGUGGAUGAAGAGGUGACUUGAAGAUUCCAGGUUUUUAUUACAAAAAACACAUCUAGAAGCCACUUCAGAUGCUCAUGAUGAUAUUACAUGUUUCUUCUCUCUGAAUUCAUACAAUCUUUCUUUCAUACACUUCCAUAUUUUUCAGAAAAGAUUGAGGAUGAAGAUACACCAAAUUUAGAUUGCAUCAGAGGUUGCAGUCACUAUCUUUACACGGGGUUGGCUUUUUUUACUUGCUAAAGAUGGCUAACUGUAAUUAGAAUGUUUCUUCUUUUCAAAGUAAUAAAUCUCUGAGUCCUUACAUCUCUAGUUAAUUAUAACUACCUUACCGGUCAUAAUGCUCUUUUCUAUACCUGAUGAAUGAUAUUAUUUCUGAGAUUUUUGAACAUGUAAUGACGGAAGCCUGCGGUGGAUUGGUUCCCUUUGUUACGUUACUGGAGUCGCAAUGUUUCGAGGUAUCUGACCAAAUUAAUUCUCUUGCUUUUUGCAGCAAAUCUGUAUCUCUUGCUACUUGCUAGAGGCGUACUCCCAGGCUACCACUGUUUUGGUGUUGCCUCUCUUACCAUUGUUAUUAGGUUGAAUUAAUUAAAUACCAGAAGAUUUCUGGAUGUGUAAUGACUGUAUGAUUAAACUUACCAGUGCACUGUCAAGGCUGUGGCGCAUGAACUUCAUUCGCGGGCGUGCGUCACCACUGUUCCACCGUGUGCCGUCGCAGCCUUCACCAAUUCCAGUAGCUCCAGUUUUUUUCUCCAUUGCCUCCAUUGAAGGUCCAAUUUUCGAGCUCACAAAACAUGACAUCUUGAGUUUAUUUUUCACGAAUUAUGUUUGUGUUUUGACAAAUCCAACAAUUAUGAUUUGAUUUAGUUGUUUCUAGUUAUGGGACACAAUGUUGUGUUUUUUUAUUAAAAAAAAGAAGAAAAGAAAACAGAGAGAAUGCUAAAAAGAAAGUCACAGCUGCAUGUGAUAGAAUACAUGUAAGUAGGAAAUAAAAUCCAACUCAAGAAUAGAUUACAAAUGAGUUCAAUCCAUUUACAGAAAAAGGGUAUAUAGAAUAUAUUUGUCUGAAGAAUCCCCUGUCUGGAAGUUCUUUGAAUGGGGCUGUGAUGGCAUUUAGAAAGCACAAGCACUAGGGGUCUUGUCUUUCACUAGCAGAAACAUAUUUAUUGUUGAAGAUUUUUUGUGUUAGGUUUAGAUAACUUUAUUUGGAUUUAAUCCACUAAAUUGGUGGGUAUCAUCUCUUAUAGAUGAUACUUUAGCUUCCAAGUCUACCAUUCUCUCAUUUAUUUGGAUGUGUUUUGUAGGGUAGAUAUGGUUGUUUUUCAAAAUGUUUUUUAAUUGAAAAUGCUUUAAAAUAAUUUUUUAAAUAUCAGUUUUUACAUCAACAAUAUAUCAAAAUGAUCUAAAAAUAUUUAUAAAAAAUUAAUUUAAAAUAAAUAAAUAAAAUUUAAAUUUAAAAAAAAAACAAAACACUUACACAAAAACAAAUAGAAUCUUGCUGUGAAUAACAGAAUUUGGUGCUAAAUUUCUUGUUGUGAAUUGCAGAAAACAGUUGCUUGAUCUGCACUAGGAUGGCAAUAGCAAGGUAAUGGAGGAUGUGAGAAAGGUAUAUCCAAGUCGUGCUUCUUUUUUGUAUCUUUCUCCUCAUCCACUAACUCUUGCUUCUUUUUUUCCCGUGAAAAAAUGGAGAGCCGAAAAUAGAUUUGUUAAAAAAUGGAGUUCCUGCAGAUUCCAAUUAAAGAGUUCUGUCUUUCUCCUGUAAUCAUCAAAACAAAUGUUAGGGAUGUGAGAAAUCUUUUGCCAAUCUUCACCCAUCUCCUCCUCCCCGUAACGUUUCUUAAUGGGGCAUCUACUUAUGUCCAGUUCCUGUAGAGGCGCUGCCAAAACAUAGUCUGGUAGUGCUCUCAACAACGGGCAAUUUCAAUAUCAAUCUCGAAGUUGUGGCAUAAUGGAUAUAUUGAAGUUGUGUUGGCAUCUUCUUCUCCCACUCUCCUUCCAAUUCCAUCCCACUCUUCUACUUCUUCGAGAUCCAAAUCAAGUUUUUAAUUUGGGGAAAGCAGUGACCCUUGCAAUUUCUCCUUCAUUAAUACUGGCAUUCUCAUCUUUUUCUAUACCUAAAAAUCCAGCAUCCAACCUUCUCACCUUCAACGACCUCAAACCAGGCUUUCAAGGUUGGGCAAUCUCCCAACGGAGGCAAGACCUCCAGUUCACAAUAACAGAGUUUAAGCUCCUGUAAUCUGGUUAAUGUCAUCAUCCAAUUUGGCAAAUCCAACCCUCCGUACCUAGAUAUGGUUAGAUUUCCAAGUCUGACGGAGGCGUAAAGCUUCAAUUAAAAGCCGUUCUUGCCGGCUCUGUGUCGAAACCAAUAGCAAACAAGCAGGCGCUUCUUAUUCUUGAGUUGUGCUUCUGCAGCGUCACUCGCAUCUUCUACCUCCCCGUAGAUUCCAUAUCUUAAGACUCCCUCCAAUGUGAUUUAAGUUUUUUAAUUCUCUUAGAUUAGCUGCUUUACUUUCAUUCUCACCACCACCACACACAGUAAACACAUCUAAUGUUCGAAGACAUGUUAUCCUCUCUAUUCCCUUUGGUAUGAAGGCCACUCCUGAACCAUAAAUCCGGAGAUGCCUCAAUUUGAUAAGUUUUCCAAUCGCCUUGGCAAUUCCUUGAGAACCACACCAAGUAACGUCUAGGGAUUGCAGAUUGCAUAAAUCACACAUGGUUUCUGGCAGGGACUCCAACUUAACAAAUGCCAAAUUGAGGUGUCUCAAAUGUAUCAAUUUCCCUACCUCGUUUGGUAUUUCUUUGAUUGAAGACCUUGACAAAUUCAAUGACCUGAUGCAUGUCAACUGCUUGAACAAAUCAGGCAGUGCAGCUCCAAGCGAAGGGUCUCUAGUGUCGAUCAAGAGGCUGCGAAGACCUUUUGCUUUGUGAAUGGACACGGGAAAAGAGGUCUCUUGACAGCAUCAUGCUUAAAUGACGAACCCUUUCAAUUGAAGUCUCCAUUGUUGCUCCUGAAGGUUAUUGACAUCCACUGUUAGACAUUCAUUUUUUGUCAUAUAUUGGGCAAAAUCAUGCACUAUAUCAUGCAUCUUGAAUCUAAUAUCUUCUGAUCAUACGUCUUAAAUCUUGGAAGAAAGAGCGCGCUGCUAAGACUUGAAAGUACUGCUCUCCAACAAGCUCCAUAUCUCCACCUGAAGUCUCCUUGAGGUAACCUUGAGCUAUCCACAUCUUCACCAAUUCUAUUUCCCAUCUCGUAGUCUUUUGGAAACAUGGCACAAUACAAGAAACAUCGUCUUACCACAGAAGGUAAAUCGUAGUAACUCAAAAGCAAAGGUAGAAAUAUUCCUCUUUCAACCUGAUCUCUAUCAACCUCAUCUAGCCCCACAAUUCGCUAGAUAAAACACGCUCCCACUCUUCUCUUGUUCUUUUAGACUGCAUUAGACCUCCUAAUACCUUGGCAGCUAGAGGCAAGCCCUUGCACUUGCUUGCAAUUUUUCGCCGAUAUCUGUCAAUCUUUCGCGCUCAUCUUUGCUUCUUUCCUGGAAUGCCACAUGAUUGAAUAUUGACCUGCAUAUCUCAUCGGACAAUUUCUCAAUGUUGAUCCGGUGGUCAGUUCCCAUCAUCGUUGCCACAGAAUGUUUACGAGUGGUCACUAGAAUUCUGCUUCCUGGUGCACGCCUGUGAGAGAUGGUUUCAGUUGUUCCCAUUGUCCAUGAUUUUCUGUCCAUACAUCAUCAAGGACAAGAAGGAACCUCUUUCCCUUAAUGGAUUCAGAAACCCUUUGCAAAAGGGAUUGCAAUUCAACCAAAUCGUGCCUCCCUUCAAGCUGCUCAAGGAUAGCUUUGGCUAUUCUAACCUCAUCAAAUGGAUCUGAACACACACCCAUAUCUUUUUCUCAAAAUGAGCCGUAACCUCAGCAUCAUUAAAAGCUAGUUGGGCGAGAGUUGUUUUUCCAAUUCCGCCCAGCCCUACUAGAGAGAUGACAUCCACGUCCCGUGCUUCCUGACUACUUUCCCAGCAACUUGCUUACUACAGCUUCCCUUUCAUCAUCUCGACCAUCACGAUUGAUUCAUCAACAAGGGAGGUACUUGUUAUUCGUUGGAGUUCAUCAGUGGCUCUGUACAACUCAAAGCCAUACAUAGCUCUCUCUUUGGCAAUCUCAUCCACUUUUUCACAUACUUCUUUGAUCUUGAGGGCAAUGUCGCGACGUCGACCACUUGAUUGAAACAAAAGCAAGGAGAUCCCAGGAAGGAACAUCCAUCUUCUGUAGGCUGUGAGUAUUUUCUUCAGCAUCCCCCAUUUUCCAUCUAAGAAUUGCAGAGCUCCAUUCAUCUAGCACGUCAUCCAUAUCAUAACAUACAUCUUUGAGCUUGUCUACCCAAUCUCUUACUGCCUCAUCCUUCACUUGUUUUCUAUCUGCAUCUUCAAGGACAGAGUGAAUAGCAAGGAGAUUGCUUUUCAGCUUGUCGACUUGUUUCUUCACACCCACUACUAGGUUCACCUCUUCUUGUACCUAUUAGUGUAGAAAAGAUAAGGAAGUUCAAGUAGAGGAAACAUUUCUAUGAUUUCACUGCAAAUUUUUAAUUUUAAUGUUUUGUAAUUAAUAGAUUAGCAGUAGUUGACACGUACUGUGAAAUGGAUUGGCUAUAUUAAUAAUUUAUAUAUAAAAUAUUUAUUAAAAACCUAUAUAUUAAAGAUAAUAAUAUUUCUUUUUAUCAUCAUCAUGAUGAUAUCUGUCUGCAGUCUGCUACUAACAAGAUGGAAGAUAAUGAAUCAUAAAAUUGUUCGACGUCAAACCUAUAAAUAACAUAAGCUUGCUGGAUCAAAGAAAUAUAGAGUAUAAAAGGAUCUGUAUUUGUUGGUAUUUGUAAAGUCUAUAGUUUUAAAGUGAAAAUAUUCUUCCUUUAUAACACUCACUAAUUAUUUUAACAUUUGAUUGAUUAUUUUACAGUUUAAUGAGAGGAUCGACAACUCCCUUUUCCUUCUAAGAAUAUUUGUUUUAGAUUAUUUCCGGAAAUAUGAAAAAUAAUAAUAUAAUAAAGAGAAAUUUCUUUAAUAAAAUACAAAUCUAGAUCUGAGGAUUUGAUAUUUUAUUUUAUUUUUCUUAUAAAGGAAGAAAAAAGACUUCAUUUUUAUAUUUCUUAUUCAUGUUAGGGCUAAUCAGAUCAUUGCAAAUUGUACGAAGUAAUUACCUCUUGAGCAACAAUCCUCGUUAACUGCUCCAAAAUUGGCGAUAAAAGUGCCGCUGCCAUCUGUCUGUUUAAUUUAAUUUAAUUUAAUUAUUUUUGAAAAAGAGACAAUGAUGAUAGGAUGAACUAAGAAAGAGAGAGAAGAGAGUCUGAGUGGAAGGAGGCUGCUGGUUUAUUAGUUAGUUUAUGUACUUAGGGUUUGGUGUGGAGGGUUGAGUUUUGUUUCAGUCCCUGUACUGUUUCUAACACUUCGAUUCAGUCCCUAUAUUAUUGUAGCUUUUCAGUCUAGUCCUGGUUGUAUGUUUCUACUGAGAAUGACAUGCCAUUUUGAGUUCCAAAGGUGAAAUACUCGUGCUUUUCUAACUUUUCCUGGCUAAGGAUUAUUAUUUGUGGAAAGUAAUUUCUUCUUCGAUAUAUAGCAGUUAUUUUGGAUUGAUACUGACCUUAGGUUAAGAAUGCUGAAGUUUCUAUUGAUUAUAGCAAUCUACUGAAAUCCCUGCUUCUCGUCUGCUUCUCUAUUUCUUCUCUUCAUUUUAUGUUAUUCCACUAAUCUUCCAAACUGGAUCAUGGUAAUAUAUAUCUGUCCAUCCAAACUAAUUUACACAAACCAAAAGUAGUAACCAAUUAGUUCUUGUGUAAUGGAAAUACAAACAAGCAUCUAUCUAUCUGGGUUUUUGAGAUCUGGUGAUUUUAUCCUGUUUUCAUAGCAGGGACUGGGGUUUGAUAUUGAUCUUUGAUUUUUGGGUCCGAAAAUGGAUGGUCCAGAUUUGUUGAGGUUGUAUGAUUGGAUUUGUUGAUGGUGCUUGAGAUGAUGCUGUAAAGUAUUUUCUUAUAUAUUUUCUGAUUUUCUGGAGGAAAGGAAAGGACUACAUCACCUUCCUAUCGAUUUUUCUAUCUGCAUCCAUAUACAUUUUGCAAUUAAGUCAUUAUGCUUUAAACUCAUUCCAUGUGCCUUCCCUUACAAGAAAAAAAAGAAAAAGAAAAAACAAGCCCAGGGUACUCAGCUUGGGCUUGGGUUCCCUCAUUAUGACUUGGUGAAUUGGGCAAUCUAAAUACUUUUGGGCUCUGUUUUAAUGGGUUCCAAGGGGAAGAAAACACAACGAUUCUUGAACAAGGAUUUGUGUCCCGUGCGCACUUGAACGAUGGGGGUCUGUUUGCAUUUUGUCAAAAGAGAUGAAAUUCUAAUCAAUGAUGAUGAUGAAAAAAAUAAAUAUAUAAAUUACUAUGUGCAUUCUAUAAUUUAGUUAUAUAAUAUAGUAGAUCUUUACAAAUUAGUAAUUUCAACUUACCAGUAGAAAAAUUAUAGUAGAUCUUUACCAUGAUAUUAUCGAAAUAAAUAAAUAAAUAAAAAUAGAUACACUUCAACACGUCCAUACACUCUUUACCAUGAUAUUAUGUAAAAUGUUAUUCUGAAGUGCCAAGACGGCUUCCUUGAAUUGCAAUAGUAUUUCGAUGUCUUGGUAGUUGAAUUUUUCUCAAUGAGCUCCAGGAAACUCUGUAAUUCUGAUUCUUGCCACCAAGUAACUUCAGGGCAGUCUGGAAAGGAUUUUCAAUGUACUUAUGUUCUUGAUGGAAUCUAAUUAUAAUUCUUAAAAACUUUUCAAUGUACUUCUGGCUUUUAAGCAAGCCUUGUCAGAACAAGAGUCUUGUGAUUAAAUUGUUUCUUCAACUCAAAUAGAUCCCUGAAAAUUAGAAAGGGGAGGCUUAUAAUUAAAUAAUAAAUGACACCAGGGGUAACAACUUAUACCCUGAUAAUCUACUAAUAGACUGACAUGCUGUAUCCAAGAAAUUAUUCCACCCCGUUUUUGGGCUGUGUUCAGAAAAUUAUUACAACCCAUUUUUGGGGUUCAACUUCGGUAUUGUUUAUUAUGUUGUUCGCCUUUUUUAAAUUGUGUUUUUUAAAAUAUAUUUUAUAAUCUUAAUGAAAAAAAAUAUAAAAAUAUAUUUUUAAUUAAAAAAUACUUUUAAAAAAGAUCAUAUCUUGCAUUACUAAACACACAUAUAAUAGAAUACUCGAGGGAUUUUUUUAUAAGCCAAGACUAAAUUUAUUAUUGCUAUUAUUUUAAAGUUCAUUCGUAUUUGUAUUAAACACAUACUAAUUUUCUCUUGAAAUAUGAAAGCAAAAUCCAAAAAAAAAUAAAAUGAAUGCUAAUCAAUAAAAAACAUAUGAAUUUUUUUUAUUUGAGAAUAAAGAAUUUUUUAAAUUUUUUUAUAAAUUAAUUAAAAUUAACCAUUAUUUACAUUAUUUAAGAGCAUUAAAGAAAUUUUUUAAAAAAACUUAACAAAUCUAAAAUUAGAAGUUAUUGUAGUUCUAAAUACUUCCGAGUAUUUAAUUAAUUUUAUUUUUGGAUAUGUUUUUAAAAUAUAUUUUAUUUAAAAAAUAUUAUAUUAAGUUUUUAAAUAUUUUUAAUGAUUUUUAUGUAUUAAUAUUAAAAUGGCAUGUCAUUCUCAGUAGAAACAUACAAUUAAAUUUCAUUAACAGCCAUCUCAAGUUCUAUACUAUCUUGCAAGUUGUAUAACAUCAAUGAAAAAUUUUUUAUUUAAAGGGGUUAAAAUGACAUCUUUUUACCAAAAUUGUUUUUUCUAAAAAAAAUUCAAUAAUAUUUAACCAAGUUUUACCCGAGUCCAUAUAAUUUGAAAGUAAUAAAUCAUAUCAAAUUUCUUUAAAUUAUUAAAUUGGAUCCUUAAUUUUUAAUUUGUCAAAUUAUUAAAUUGGAUCUUCAAUCUCUUUUAUAGGGGGUUUGGUAUCACUGCAUAACUUAAUUAUGACACUAUAUAUAGUGAUCAUUUGUGAUAAUUCUGUUGCAGAUUGAAAAUAUUUAGCGACACUAAAAGUGUCGUUAAAUAUGAGAGCCAUUACAUGUUGUUUUUUGUUUUUUGUAGUGCAACGAUAGUAAAACAUGAUGUUAAUUUUAGCAACACACCGUGACCAAAUGCAACGAAGAGAGUCGAAACCUAAUAAUCAAAGAAAAUUAGAUAUUCUAAAAUUGAUAUUGGAUUUUUAAAGAUUCAGAUAUUAGGUUAACAUCACAUUUACUAUAACCUUUUAAAUAAAAAAUUAUCAUUGUUUAUGUUUUUCUAAAUUAUUUUAUGCUAUUAUAUUUUUAUUUAUAAUUUAUUUAAGAAUAGACACCGGUUUCUUAGAAUAAAAAACUUGUAAAAUUUUUUGUCAUCCCUAAAAACCAAAGAGUCCAUAGCUUGUCAUUUUAUGACACUAGCCUUGCUAUGUAUAUACAUAAUCUCCACGGUUUUAAAAACCAAUCUCUAAAAUAGGAGAUUUCAUUAAUUUUUUUACAUUAAUCCCUGAAGACAUGCAGUAGAUUUUGUAAUUUCUUGAAUUUUAAUAAAAACUUUGAUGUUAAUCCCUUAAGAUAGAAGAUUUCAUCACUUUUUAAGAUUUAAUGAAAAUUUUGAUGAUAUUCACUAAAAUAGAAGAUUUCAUCAAUUGUUUCUUUGGCUGCUUAUCCAAGAUAAAGUCUUCAUCCGUGAUUUCUUGUUUCAGCAUGAUUUCUUUUCUCUUCAGCAAGCUAGAUGUAUGUUUUGUAAAAGAAGAUUUGAAACUUCAAGCCAUCUCUUCAUUCAUUGUGUUUUUGCCUGGAAGUUAUGAAUGAAAUUCCUAUUUUGGUGGGGGAAUUAGUGAUUCUUUCCCAAAUUCUAUUGAUGAUAUAAUCUACAAAUGAUGCAAGGAAAAUUUCAGAAUCUUUCAUGAUGACAACUUCUCUUUUCUUGUAUUGCAUGGAGUCUAUGGCUACAUUGAAAUGAUGUAAUCUUCAAUGAUGCUAUUCCAGAUCUUAAGGGUUGUUUUUACUUUAUCGAUCCUCCACAGGUUCUCCUUAUGGUUGAAGUUUGAUAGCACAACUUUUGCUUACACCGGUUUGGAUUUAGGGAUCAACUCUGAUGGGAUCUUUUUCGGGGAUAACAGAAGUUGACUUCUUGUUUUUAUCUAUUGUCUGGUCCCUGUUUUCUUCUUCCUGUUAUAGAGUAGAUACCGUGAUUUAGGGAUCAACUAAGGUUCACUGUUGGUUUCUAUGCAAGGCAAGAUUGAAAGUUCUGUGAAUAUAUGAGUUGGAAGGUUAGAGUAAAUGCUGGAUGGUAUUUUUGAUUUUUCCCUCUCAAUGGCGCUGCUCACCAAUAGCUCGGGUGUAUUUGUGCUGAUGGAGAUGGAACCGAAGCGUAUAUAUUGGCUUUUUUUACUUGCUAAAGAUGGCUAACUCAGUAACAGAAGAGAUUUUCUAUUUCAGCAUGACUACCUUACCCUUAAGGAAUCAAGAUGUGCUUCAUGCAAUAAAAGCUUGGAAUCUUCAAUUCACUUCUUCAUUUAGUAUCACUUCACUUUGAAUAUAUGGAUGAAAUUGCUUUUUAAUCAGGGCUUUUGUAGUGCUUUUUCAAAAUAUAUUGACAAUAUGUGUUACCAAUGGUCUUCCAUGGUUAAAGACAAGCAACAAAAUCUCUUAUAACAGCUUAUUUUCUCAUGUAUUGUAUGGAAUAUGUGGCUCCACUGAAAUGAUGUCAUUUUUAAUGACGCUGCCCCUAACCUUCAAAUCUAUUUUUUCAUGAUGCGUCAAAGUAUUGCUUCAUGGCUGAGGCUUCAUUCUAGCUUUUUAAAGCUUAAUAUAGAGAAUGUUCAGUAGGGAGGAAAUGAUUUUUUAUGUUUUUUAUUUGUUCCUCCUAAUUGUUACGCUCCCUUGUUUCAUGCAGCAGCUUUUAUGCUUUUUUUUUUCUUUAUUUAUUCAUCUAAUGUAAAUUAUGCUAUUAUCUUAAUACCCAUUUUCUUAAUAAAAAUUUCGAUUAUUACCAAAAAAAAAGAUGGCUAACUGUAAUUAGAAUGAUGGUAAAUGUUUCUUCUUUUCACAGUAACAAAUCUCUGAGACCUUACAUCUCUAGUUAAUUAUAACUACCUUACCGGUCAAAAUGUUCUUUUUCUGUACCUGAUGAGUGAUAUUAUUUCUGAGAUUUUUGAACAUGUAAUGACGGAAGCCUGCGUUGGACUGGUUCUCUUUGUUACGUUACUGGAGUCGCAAUGUUUCGAGUUAUCGGACCAAAUUAAUUCUCUUUCUUUUUGCAGCAAAGCUGUAUCUCUUGCUACUUGCUAGAGGCGUAAUCCCAGGCUACCACUGUUUUGGUGUUGCCUCUCUCACCAUUGUUAUUAGGUUGAAUUAAAUACCAGAAGAUUUCUGGAUGUGUAAUGACUGUAUGAUUAAACUUACCAAUGCACUGUCAAGGCUGUGGCGCGUCAACUGCAUGUGCCGGCGGGCGUCACCAUUGUUCCACCAUGUGCCGUUGUAGCCACUAAGUGGCCAAGAUUUUUUAAAUGAGAAGGUAAAUUACUAAUAAAUAUUUGAUAUUAUGUAUUAUGUAUACAUGCAUUAUAUAGAAAAAUCAAUUUGAAAUAUAUGUACUAACUCAUAUUAAAUGAAAUUAAUUUAAGAGUACUUUUAAAAUGAUAAAAAAAUUACAUUAUAAUUGUUCUUUUCGGGUUUUUAUAUUUUGAAACUGUUUCAUAAUAACUUCAUUAUCAAUCUCAUUAAAGAUAUUUUUCUAAAUUUAUAUAAUUAAAUUGUCAUUUAUCCACUUAUCUCCUAUCUUAUAUUGCAAUCUACUCUUGAAAACAUUCAUGACAGAUAAAACUAUUUUCACUAUAGCAGUUACAACUAGUAAAAAUAAUGACAAUUUGAUAAGUAUAUAUACCAAUAAAAAUAUUAAAUUCUUCUUUGUUUUUACCAUUUAAUUUCUCCUCAAGACUAGCGGCAAUAAAAAGUUCUCUCUGACUAGAAAGUUUCAAAUGGUAGAAGGUAAACUCUUUAAUAUUACAGAGGAGCUAAUGAAUCAAAGAAUCGAACAUAGAAAGUUUUGAUGGUAUAAACACAAACCACGGAAGCAGCAAUAAAAAGUGCUCUCUGGCUCUAUGGUUUCCUUCUUUAUAUGCGUUGAUUAGUUUUUUUUUUUGCCAUAGAAUAAAAUCAUCAGAUGUCCCUUUACUUCUUUAUCUGUUAAACAUGAAUAAAAGAAAAAUUUGAGACAACCAGCUUAUAAUUCAAACACCAAAAGUGUUUUUUAAUAGAUUCAAAGAUUAAAAAAAAUUACUUUGAACUUUGCAAGGAGAGAAUGUAGAUAGUCACAGUAGAACACAUUAAUAUAUUGUCUCUUGAUUUUUUAUCUUUUACAAAAUAUAACUUAAGUUAUUAUAUUAAUAUUUUAACGUAAAAAUUAAUUUUUUUUUUAAAAGAAGGGGGCAGCUGGCCCCUUAUGCCCCAGUGGCUCCGCCCCUGGCAGCCACCACCAAUUCCAGCAGCUCCAGCUUUUUUCUCCAUUUCCUCAUGUCCAAAUUUCAAGCUCAGCAUGACAUUUUGAGUUUAUUUUUCAUGAAUUAUGUUUGUAUUUUGACAAAUCCAACAAUUAUGAUUUGAUUUAGUUGUUUCUGGUUAUGGGACACAAUGUGGUUUUUUUUAUUAAAAACAAAAAACAGAGAGAAUGCAAGAAAGAAAGUCACAGCUACAUUUGAUAGAAUAAAUGUAAGUAGGAAAUAAAAUCCAACUCAAGAAUAGUUACAAAUGAGUUCAAUCCAUUUACAGAAAAAGGGUAUAUAAAAUAUAUUGGUCUGAAGAAUCCUCUGUCUGGAAGUUCUUUGAAUGGGGCUGUGAUGGCAUUUAGAAAGCAGAGGAACUAGGGGGCUUGUAGCAGAAAUCAUAUUUAUUGUUGAAGAUUUUUUUGUGUUCGGUUUAGAUAACUUUAUUUGGAUUUAAUCCACAAUGGGUAUCAUCUCUUAUAGAUGAAUGGUUAAGCUUCCAAGUCUACCAUUCUCUCAUGUAUUUGGAUUUAAUCCACUGAAACUGAGGUUUAAGAAUUUCUUGUUGUGAAUUGCAGAAAACAGUUGAUUGAUCUUCACUAGGAUGGCAAUUGGAAAUGAAUGGAGGAAGCAUCAAGAUCAGUGGCUUGUUUGAAGGCAGAUAGACCCUUUGAUCGUGAGAUGAUGCCUUUAGAUGAGAAAGGAUGUGAGAAAGGUAUAUCACAGCUGCAUUUGAUAGAAUAAAUGGUAAGUAGUUUGUUUUUUAAUUAAGUAUUUCAAUAUGGCAAAGAUAGGGUGUAAUUUACCAUACUUUAGUCUUAUUCCAUUCAAUAUAAUUAUGGAUACUAUAGAGCAUAUACGUACUUUGAUCUUAAUUAGUCCUUGGCUUAAAACGAAUUUGGUGCAGAUACAGAUUCUAAAGACGUCCAACUCCAACAAGCCCUAAAAGGACAUCAUUGGAUAAAUACCAAGGAGCUUGUGCAUGAGCAUUGUUUUGUUCACUCUGUGGCAGAGGCCUCUCCACAACUUCUCAGCAGGAAAGCUAUUAUUUAAGUUGCAACGCAGUGCGGUUCUAUAAACUAACUAGUUUAUAGCAAUUGCAAAUGAAUGGACCCUUUGAUCGUUAGAUUAUGCCUUUAGAUGAGGCUCGACAUUAUAGAGGCAUAAAAGAGAGAGAGAUACAUCACAGCUGCUUUUGAUAGAGUAAACAGGUCACAUAUUAUUUACACUCAACCUUAGCAAACACCAAAGCAAAUAAUUAAUACACUCAAAGCGAAAAAAUAAUGUGAGAAAUCUUUUACCAAACUGCACCCAUCUUCUCAUCCCCGUAACGAUUCGUUAGAAUGGGGCUCCUUCUUAUGAUUAAUUCCUGUAGAGGCGCUGCCAAAACAUAGUCUGGUAGUGCUCUCAACAACGGGCAAGUAUCAAUAAUCAACUCUUGAAGUUGUGUUGGCAUCUUCUUCUCCCACUCUCCUUUCAAUUCCAUCCCACUCUUCUACUUCUGUGAGAUCCAUAAUCCAAAGUUUUUUCAAUUUGGGGAAAGCAGUGACCCUUGCAAUUUCUCCUUCACUAAUACUGGCAUUCUCAUCUUUUUCUAUACCUAAAAAUCCAGCAUCCAGCCUUCUCACCUUCAUCGACCUCAAUACCAGGCUUUCAUGGUUGGGCAAUCUUCCCAACGGAGGCAAGACCUCCACGUUUGUACAAAGACCGAGUGUAAGCACCUGUAAUCUGGUUAAUGUCAUCAUCCAAUUUGGCAAAUCCAACCCUCCGUACCUAGUUAUGGUUAGAUUUUCCAAGGAUGACGGAGGCUGUAAAACUUCAAUUAAAAUGUUGUUCUCCCGGUUGAAGUUGAAAUCCAAUUGCAAACAAAGUAGGCGAUUCUUAUUCUUGAGUUGUACUUCUUUCAUUGUCUUUUUCUACUCUUUCAUAAUUUAAGGCACUUCUUUCUUCUUUUAGCUAGAAACAUAAUGCAGAUGCAGAGAGUGAAGAGUCGACAUGCAGAUGCAGGAACAUAGGAAGAGAGUUGUUUGGUUACUAAAAUAAGGGCUAGGGUUAUGAAAUCUGGAAAUUGAAAUUCGGAUCGAAAUUAGUGAGGAAAUCAGCAUGCUAGAUUCAGCAGCGUUUGGGGUCAGAAUGGCAUUGUUGGGAAUAAGACAACAAAUUAUGCGUAGCUUAGCAGCCAUUGUUGCUGCUUCAGGAACACCAAACUCCCUUGUCAAAAAACUGCAUUCAUAUGCAUUUUGCAAUUAAGGCAUUAUGCUUUAAACUCAUUCUAUUUGCCUUCCCUCACACAAAAAAGAAAAAAAAAAGGUUAUUUGCUGUCGUCACUGGAUUAGUUUCAAACCCAAAAGUCUCGUUGCGUUCUGUUUCAAUUCAGUCAGUCUUUAUUAGUCAAUGCUUCGCUGCACUGAAAAAACACCAUAUGCACCUCAUUGCAGAGUGAGGUCAUAUGUCCUACAAAAAUGGAUUUUGAACAUAAUAAUUAGAAGGAAAAAAAAAUUAAAAGUGAGCAUAAUUGAUCAUCGUGGAUAUAAUAAUAAUAUUUAAUAAAAUGAAUUAGCUUGUUAACUCCUAGAAGUUUUUAUAAAAACUAAUCUUGAAGUACAAGUAAUCCCUUCGCUCAUCAACUUCGCUGUGAAAAAGCCCAGAGUACUCAGCUUGGGCUUGUGUUCCCUCAUUAUGACUUGGUGAAUUGGGCAAUCUAAAUACUUUUGGGCUCUGUGUUUUAAUGGGUUCCAAGGGGAAGAAAACACAACGAUUCUUGAACAAGGAUUUGUGUCCCGUGCGCACUUGAACGAUGGGGGUCUGUUUGCAUUUUGUCAAAAGAGAUGAAAUUCUAAUCAAUGAUGAUGAUGAAAAAAAUAAAUAUAUAAAUUACUAUGUGCAUUCUAUAAUUUAGUUAUAUAAUAUAGUAGAUCUUUACAAAUUAGUAAUUUCAACUUACCAGUAGAAAAAUUAUAGUAGAUCUUUACCAUGAUAUUAUCGAAAUAAAUAAAUAAAUAAAAAUAGAUACACUUCAACACGUCCAUACACUCCUUUUUUAAAAAAUAAUUAUAAUAAAAUUAAUUAGUUAUUAAUUAUAAAAAUCAGACCUAUGAGUUAUGUCUAAGCUGUUGAAAAUAGUAAAGAUAAAGUAAUUAGAAGUGACAAUGAAAUUAUUAGUUGAUCAUCGAGUUGUUUUACUAGAAUCCAAAUCACUUAGCUCAAAUUACUAAUAACAAUUAUAAAUUUACACCAAAUUUGAACAAAUUUCUACCAGCCGAUGUGACUAAACUCAAAUCACUCCUAGGAAUCUUAAUAUAAACCCAUUUACUACUAGACCAGCACCUCUUUGGCUAAAAUCCACGUUGCUUUCCCACACCAAUCAUCAGCUUCUUCAAUUACAGUGCUACAAGUCCAUGUCUCUAUACCUAUUGUAACAUAUUCUACAAACAUACUGUUUUACUGUAGACUGCAAUGUUUUAAGUGUUUUUUUUUUAUUAAGUUGUUUUAUUUUUUUUAACGGUUUUUUUUAUGUCUUUCAGAAUAUUUUUUUUGCUUCGUUCUUUGUUUUUUUUUCUUUUAACAAAAGUUUUUUGUUUAAUUUAGUUUAUUAAUGUUUAAUUUUUUUAUUUAUUUAUCAGACUUUCAUGAUACAUUUUCCAGAUUUAACGGGUUAACCUGGUUUGACAAGUUAACCCAUAAUUUUUUUUUUUGCUUUUUUUAAAUUAAUUUUUUUGCUUUAGUUUAUUUUAUUAAUGUUAAAUUUCUUUCUAUUUAGUUAUCAGACUUUCAUGACAUAUAUCUAGAGUUUCACGGGUUAACACGGUUUGACGGGUUAACAUGGAUUUUUUAUUAUUUUUUUCUUUUUAAUUAAUUUUUUUCGUUUAGUUCAGUUUGUUAAUGUUCACUUUUUUUUUUAUUUCGUUACCAUACAUUCAUGACACAGAUCCCGGGUUUAACGGGUUAACCUGGUUUGACAAGUUAACCUGAAAUUUUUUUUUUUUGCUUUUUUUUUUUUAAAUUUAGUUUAGUUUGUUAAUGUUAAAUUUCUUUCUAUUUAGUUUUUUUUUCUUCAUAGAGGUUUUUUUCUUUUAUUUUUUCUUUUUAAUUAAUUUAGUUUAUUAAUAUUAAAUAUUUUUCUAAUUAGUUCUCGGCUAAUGCCUUUAGUUUUUCUUUUUGUUUCUUUUUGUUGUUUUUUUGCCUUUGACUGUGGACUGCACAAUGCAGUCCACAAUAAAAAGGUUGAUGCCUUUUGUUUUUUUUUUCUUUUUAAUUAAUUUUUUUUGUUUAAUUUAAAUUAUUAAUGUUAAAUUUUUUUUCUAUUUAGUUAUCAAACUUUCAUGAUACGAAUUCUGAGUUUGACAUGUUAACCUGAUUUGACGAGUUAGCCCAGUCAACUCAAUGAAUCACACAGAUAAAUUACACGGAAUCAGUAAAAUCAAAAUAAAACGUGUUAAUCUACUUUCUUAUGUUAUGAAAGGAGAUGAAUCCAACAAAAACAUAAUAAGCCACAGUUAAUUUUUUUAUCUUUGAGAUAAAAAAAUAUUUUUGAAAAAAUUAAAUUUUUUAUUAAUUUAUAAUUUAUUUAUAUUUUAAAAUAAUUUUAAUGUAUUAAUAUUAAAAAUUAAUUUUUAAAAACAAAAUUUUAAUUAUUUUUAAAUAAAAAUAUUUUAAAAAAUAAUUAUUAUUUUAAUACCAAAAACGCUUUUGCCUGCUUGGGAGUUAUGGUUGCGGUUGCUUUUCAAAAUGUUUUUUAUUUAAAAAUGUAUUAAAAUGAUGUUUUUUUUAUUUUUUUAAAAUUAAUUUUUAUAUCAGUGCAUCAAAAUAAUCUGAAAAAACUAAAAAAAUAUUAAUUUAAAUAAAAGAAAAAAAUUAAAAUUAAAUAAAUAUUUUUCAAAACGUUUUUAAAACAUAAAAACAAAUAGAAAUAAAUGCUAAAAUAGGAAAACAAACCAACUCUUUAUUAAAUGACAUUAUUUUUGAGAUUUUAUAUAUAUAUAUAUAUAUAUAUAAAAACUUUGGUGGACACACCAAUCAAUCCAUUCGAUUGGCCACCCAAUCUUGGGCAAGAUCGACCGUGGGUUGUAUCUUAUUACUAUGGUGAUAAGUAAUCACUCGAAAGUUCAAAACUAGCUUGACCCAUAAGAAUAUAUAUCGGAAUAAGUUAAGACUAUGAUGCCAACUUUAUUUUUUUAAAAAAAUAAAAGGCAUAAAUCAUUAAUAAAAAUCUAAAAGGUAUGAAAUUUUUAUUAUGUGUGUACCAUUGUUCACCCUUCCAUAUUUUAUUAUAGAUAAUCUAUUGUUUAAAAUUUUGUCUUUUUAAUCUGGGCCUUGAUUUUUUUUACACGAUUGCAUUCUUUUUUAACCAAAUUAAAAAGCAACUUUAUCAAAUUCGCCGACUACUGAUAAAAUUAAAAAAGAGAGGACUAAAAUAGAAAAGGUGCAAUAAAUGGAUGAUGAUUUCAAAGUUCACACAAAAAAUCAAUUUAGUCCUCACACUUUAAAAAUUAUACAUAUUCGAUUUUUCAAUAUUUUUUUAAAUUCAAUUUUAGUAUAAAAUUUCACUUUUGUUAUAUUAUAGUUCAUGGUUUGAGAGAUAAGAGAGCAAGGUCACCGGAUUCCAAAUCUAGACAAAAAAUAUUGUUGGCGUCGAUUUUGACCAUAAAAAUGAUCGAUUUAUAUGUCAAAUGAUUUCAUUUGAUGAUGGGAUUUCAGCUUAAGUGUUUUUUACUUUAAAAAUAUAUAUGGGCUCAAGAGAUUGUUCAUUUUUGGUUGAUUUUGAGUUUUGAGAUAGUUUUUUUUAUGUCAUAGACAUGUUUAUCAAAGUUCAUAUGUUUUUUUCUAGGUAUUUUGGGUAAAAAAAAAUUAAAAAUGAGUUUUUGAAUGAAAAAACCUCAAAUCUUGAUUUUUCUGCCACCACAAUAAUCAAAAUAUGAGGAAAAUCAUACGAUGCAUCAUCUAAUUUAAUUUUCUUUCAAAAAGAAAGGAGGGGGGGGGGGACUUUGCAAUGAAAGAGAAUUAUGGGUCUAAGCAUGUGGGCCUACCUUGACAGACUUGUACACGGGCCCUAACAAGAUUAGUCGAAUGGGGUGGCUCGGCUUGUCAAGCCUAGUAACACUUGAGCUUUUUUUUUUUUUUUUUAAAUUAAUACUUUUUUAUAUUCUUUUUUUCAAGUUUAAUAUUUUAUUUAUAAUUAAAUUAAUAUAUUUUCUCUCUUUUAUUUUGUUGAUAUAGCCUCUUUAAAAUUACAAUUAUUUUUUAAUUAUUUUGUAUGCAUUUAUUUUUAAAAUAUAUUAUUAUAAUUCAUCUAUAAAUGUUUUUUGUGUUUUAUAUGAAUAAAAAAUAUUUAUUUAUUUAUUUAUAAUAUUUCUAACAUGUGUAAUCUUACAUGAUAUUGUUUUUAAUUCAAUCAAUUUUACAUGUAUUUAUUUUUAUUAUUGUUUAAUUGAAUGAAAAUUUGAUUUUGAUAAACAAUGAUAUUUAAUACAAUCAGAUGAAAUGCUUGUAUUGUAAUGUUAAAGAUCUUGAUUUAUAUAUGUUUAUCGAUAUUUCAAUUUUAUCUUUAUUUAUUGUUAAUAAUAUUUUAUUUUUUAUUUUUUUAAUACACAUUAUUCUCAAUAUAUUUGAUUAUAUUUAUGCAUCAGUUUUUUUUUAUGCUUAUAAUUUUUUUUAUGUACAAAUACAUGUUGGAAAAAUCUUCAUAUAUCAUUUUUUUAUAUAUAAAAAAUAUGUUUGAUGCACUAACACGUGAGAGCUUUCACUUUUAAUUUGCAUAAUAAAAGAUUUGUUUUUGUCCUUUUUUUUUUUAUUGAUCCUUUUAAUAUUGCACUGAUCUUAUAUUGAUUUUUACGAUUUGAUUUUAUGCCAAUGAUGGGACCUUUUAGUGCUGGGGAAAUAUUACGUGCUUGGUUGAUUCUCAAUUUUUAAUAAAAUCAAAAUCAAUUGCAUUCGUAUAAAAGAACUAGAAAUUCAGGUAUUGGAAUUGAAAGACUAAAUAAAUGUGCUAUUCCUUUUGUUUGCUAACAUUGAGAAUUGAUUUGCAUAUUCAAUGAAAAAAAAAUCAAAUUCAAUUUUAGCAGUGGAUUGAUUGCCAUGAUCUAGCUAGCAGAAUUUGCUAGUGUUUUUUUAAUUAAUUUUUUAAUUUAAUCAUUUUAUAUUUAAAUUGUUGAAAUUUGACAUAAUAAUUUUUUUGUAAUUGCUUUGUGGGGUUAUUUUAACAUUAUAACUUGAGUUAUGGUUUUAACAUACUAAUUAAAGUUGAUUCGAAUUAAUUUUUAUAUAUUGAAUUAUAUAAGAAUUGAAUUUGUAAUUAUUCUUUUGCGAGAACUUUUUUAAGCAGGUCACGCUAACCUUUUUUUUAUCUUAGCCUGCAACGGCAUAACACGAACAAUCUAUCUAGUGUUAUUACUGAAAGAUCACAUGGCCAACCCAAAAAGUUCACGAAGAACACACAAUCAAAAACGCAAAAAAACAAAAGGGUUUCUUGAAUUUCAACCAAAGAAUAUAACAAAACCGAUAAAACAAAAUAAUAAAUGUUUACUUACAGAAGAUUCAUCGACUAAAAUAGAUGGCAAUUUCUUCUCAGUUGCAAUAACAACAACGUUUGCCGCUACAACACCAAAAAAAUAAUAAAAUCAACAACAUAGUACAUUCGAAAAUGACAAGAAAAUGAGAUGGUAGAAGAAACCAAAGCGAAGAGGUCACAUAGAGUAAAUGGUAAGAAUUAACACCAAAGCAAAUAAUUAAUACACUCAGAACCAAAUCUUUUACCGUUAAGAAUUAAUACUGGUAGAAGAAUUUACCUCUAUAUCAUCAAAAUUAAUAUUUGGGAUGUGAGAAAUCUUUUGCCAAUCUUCACCCAUCUCCUCCUUCCCGUAACGUUUCCUUAGAAUGGAGCAACCAUUUAUGUAUAAUUCCUGUAGAGGCGCUGCCAAAACAUAGUCUGGUAGUGCUCUCAACAACGGGCAAUCAACAAUCAUCAACUCUCGAAGUUGUGGCAUAAUGGAUAUUAUUGAAGUUGUGUUGGCAUCCCACUCUUCUACUUCUUGGAGAUGCCAAAAACCAAGAUGUUUUAAUUUGGGGAAAGCAGUGACCCUUGCAAUUUCUCCUUCAUUAAUACUGCCAUUCUCAUCUUUUUCUAUACCUAAAAAUCCAGCAUCCAGCCUUCUCACCUUCAACGAGCUCAAUACCAGGCUUUCAAGGUUGGGCAAUCUUCCCAGCGGAGGCAAAACCUCCAGGUUUUCACAAUCAAAGAGUUCAAGCCCCUGUAAUCUGGUUAAUGUCAUCAUCCAAUUUGGCAAUUCCAACCCUCCGUAACUAGAUAUGGUUAGAUAUUCCAAGUAUGACGGAGGCUGUAAAGCUUCAAUUAAAGAGCCUUCAUUCGCUUGCAACUCUGUUUUCUCUCUGUCGAAAUACAAUCGCAAACGAAGCAGGCGCUUCUUAUUCUUGAGUUGUGCUUCUGCAGCGUCACUCGCAUCUUCUUUACCUCCUCCUAGAUUCCGUAUAGUAAGACUCCCUCCAAUGUGAUUUAAGUCUUUUAAUUCUCUUAGAUUAGCUGCUUUACUUUCAUUCUCACCACCACCACACACAAUAAACAAAUCUAAUGUUUGAAGACAUGUUAUCCUCUCUAUUCCCUUUGGUAUGAAGACCACUCCUGAACCAAAAAUCCGGAGAUGCCUCAAUUUGAUAAGUUUUCCAAUCGUCUUGGGCAAUUCCUUGAGAGACCGACAGAAAGUAACAUCUAGGGAUUGCAGAUUGCAUAAAUCACAACUGGUUUCUGGCAGGGACUCCAACUCUCCACAUUGUGCCAAAUUGAGGUGUCUCAAAUGUAUCAAUUUCCCUACCUCGUUUGGUAUUUCUUUGAUUGAAGACCCUGACAAAUUCAAUGACCUGAUGCAUGUCAACUGCUUGAACAAAUCAGGCAGUGCAGCUCCAAGCGAAGGGUCUCUAGUGUCGAUCAAGAGGCUGCGAAGACCUUUUGCUUUGUGAAUGGACUUGGGAAAAGAGGUCUCCUCUGACAGCAUCAUGCUUAAAUGACGAACCCUUUCAAUUGAAGUCUCCAUUGUUGCUUCUCCAAGUGUAUUGACAUCCACUGUUAGACAUUCAUUUUUUGUCAUAUAUUGGGCAAAAUCAUGCACUAUAUCAUGCAUCUUGAAUCUAAUAUCUUCUCGAUCAUACGUCUCAAAAUCUUGGAAGAAAGAGCGCGCUGCCAAGACUUGAAAGUACUGCUCUCCUACAAGCUCCAUAUCUCCACCUGAAGUCUCCUUGAGGUAACCUUGAGCCAUCCACAUCUUCACCAAUUCAUAUUUUCCCAUCUCGUAGUCUUUUGGAAACAUGGCACAAUACAAGAAACAUCGUCUUACCACAGAAGGUAAAUCGUAGUAACUCAAAAGCAAAGGUAUAAAUAUUCGUCUUUCAACCUGAUCUCUAUCAACCUCAUCUAGCCUCCACAGUUCGCUAGAUAAAACACGAUCCCACUCUUCUCUUGUUCUUUUAGACUGCAUUAGACCUCCUAAUACCUUGGCAGCUAGAGGCAAGCCCUUGCACUUGUUUGCAAUUUUAUCGCCGAUAUCUGUCAAUCUUUCGCGCUCAUCUUCGCUUCUUUCCUGGAAUGCCACAUGAUUGAAUAUUGACCUGCAUAUCUCAUCGGACAAUUUCUCAAUGUUGAUCCGGUGGUCAGUUCCCAUCAUCGUUGCCACAGCGUCCUUACGAGUGGUCACUAGAAUUCUGCUUCCUCGUGCACAGCCUGUGAGAGAUGGUUUCAGUUGUUCCCAUUGUCCAUGAUUUUCUGUCCAGACAUCAUCAAGGACAAGAAGGAACCUCUUUCCCUUAAUGGAUUCAGAAACCCUUCGCAAAAGGGAUUGCAAUCCUACCAAAUCAGAUGCCCUCCCUUCAAGCUCCUCCAGGAUAGCUUUGGCUAUUCUAACCUCAUCAAAUGGUUCUGAAACACACACCCAUAUCUUUUUCUCAAAAUGAGCCGUAACCUCUGAAUCAUUAUAAGCUAGUUGGGCGAGAGUUGUUUUUCCAAUUCCUCCCAGCCCUACUAGAGAGAUGACAUCCACGUCCCGUGCUUCUUGACUACUUUCAGCCAGCAACUUGCUUACAACAUUUCUCUUUUCACCAUCUCGACCAAUCACGCUUGAUUCAUCAACAAAGGAGGUAGUUGUUAGUCGCUGGAGUUCAUCAGUGGCUUUGUACAGAUCAAAGCCAUACUUAGCUCUCUGUUUGGCAAUGUCAUCCACCUUUUCACAAACUUCUUUGAUCUUCAGGGCAAUGUCGCGACGUCGAACCACUUGAUUGAAACAAAAGCAAGGAGAUCCCAGGAAGGAACAUCGUAUCUUCUGUCGGCUGUGAGUAUUUUCUUCAGCUUCCUCCAUUUUCCAUCUAAGAAUUGCAGUGCUCCAUUCAUCUAGCACGUCAUCCAUAUCAUAACAUGCAUCUUUGAGCUUGUCUACCCAAUCUCUUACAGCCUUAUCCUUCACUUGUUUUCUAUCUGCAUCUUCAAGGACAGAUUGGAUAUCAAGGAGAUUGCUUUUCAGCUUGUCACAUUGUUUCUUCACACCCACUACUAGGUUCACCUUUUCUUGUACCUAUUAGUGUACAAAGGAAAAGAAACGUUAAGCAUAGGAAACAUUUCUAUGACAAUUUCACACCCCCUACUAGGUUCACCUCUUCCUGUACCUAGCUAUUAGUGUAGAAAAGACAAGUUCAAGCAUAGGAAACAUUUCUAUUUUGUAUUAAUAUAUUUUAUUGUGAAAUGGAUUUACUAUAUUAAUAAUUUAUAUAUAAAAUAUUUAUUAUAAAUGAUAAUAUUUCUUUUUUCUUUUUAUCAUCAUGAUGAUGAUAUCAGUCUGCACUAUGCUACUGUACAAGAAGGUAUAAAAUGAAUCUUAAAUGGUAAAAUGUAAACCUGUACGUAUGUAUAUAUAUAUAUAUAUAAAGAGUUCAAUGUUCUCACGUGAGAAGGAUUUCUCCUUUGAACCGACAUAAAAUCUGGUUUUCAUUUUACAUUAAACUAUAGAUAUAUGGAUGUAUAAAGGCAAGUGAAUAAAAGGAUCUGCAUUUAUAUAUUUGUGAAGUCAAUUUAGAAAUAAAGGCAUGAUAAUAAGAUUGUGUGAUAACUAUAUAGUUUUAAUUCACACCAAAUACUCACUCGCUAAUCCUUCGAACUUUUUAUUGAUUAUUUUACCUUUAAUAGUUCAGUUUAAAGAGAAUUGGCAACUCUUGUUCAUCUUUUUUGGUUUUCUUAUAUUUGGAAUGAUAUAUUUUCUUUAGGUUAUUUUUAGAAAUAUGAAAACUAAUAAAACUAGAAAAAUAAGUCUUUAAUAAAAUCGAAAUAUAUACUUGAGGAUUUAAAAUAUUAUUUUUAUUUUUUCAAGUUAAAAGUAUUCUUUUUAUGAGAGGAAGAAAAAAGGCUUGAACGUUAUAUAUAUUUCUUAUCUGUGCUUAGGUAAAUCAGGUUAUUGCAGAUGGCAGAAAAAUACCUGUUGAGCAACGAUCGUGGUUAACUGCUCCAAGAUCGGAGAUAGAAGUGCCUCAGCCAUCGUCUGUUUAGUUCUGAUUGGAGAGAGAGAGAGAGAGAGAGAGAGAGAAGCAGUGAUGAUAGGAAGACAGAGAGAAAGAGAGGGUGAAGGGAAGGAGGCGGCUGAUUGUGAAUGGAUUAAUAUACUUGGGGUUUCUCGUUGCAGGUGGAGUUCUUGCAACUUGUAGUUUUUUUUACUAGUGAAGCUUUGUAUUUAGUGUCUCCACAGAAAAAUAUUUUUUAUUUAGUGGCUGAAAGAUUCACAAUUUAUAUUAUAAUUGAUGAUUUUUAUUCUAUGAAAGAACAACAAAUAUAAUUAAAAUAAUAUAUAAAAAUUAUUUUUUAUUAUUUUUUAUUUUAUUUCAAAGUUUAUUAAACAUAAAAUAAUGUUUCGCUUUAAUUAAUGUUUCUUAUAUACUUUGUAUGUUUAUAUUUGAUAGGUAUAGAGAUCAACAACAUUAAAAUGAUGAAUACAUCAUGAAGUUAAAAUUAGCUUCAUUGUUUUGACUUAAUUUGAUAUUGCUCCAAACCUUUUAUAUUAUAUAUUUAUAAUAAGUUAUUUGAAUAAAACUAAAUCAUACUGGUUUUUUUUACAACUCAUAUAUAAUAAAUUAAAAUAAAUAUUAUAUUUUGUUUUAUUAUUUUUGGCCAUUCCAAAAAUAUCAAGGGAAAGUCUUCAAAUGCACAGAGUAAAUCGGAACCCACAGUGAAGUAGCUCUUCAGUAUCUUCUAAGCUCAAGCUGUCAAACACAGACCAAAAGCAAACGUGUCAUAACCAAAACAACCCAAUGAAUGGUAGAUGUUAAAAUGAGCAUUCCAUUUUCUGAAUGACAAAAAUCCCAGUGCCUAGCAAUGACUUACAUAAUUAAUUAAAAUGGAUUUGUUAAAAUAUAGUAAAAUAUUAGACCGUUUAAGAAUUAACACUGUUGGGUUUCGAUAACUUUAUUUGGAUUUAAUCCAUUAAAUCAAUGGGUAUCAUCUUUUAUAGAUGAAUGGUUUAGCUUCCAAGUCUACCAUUCUCUCAUUUAUUUGGACUUAAUCCACUGAAACUGAGGUUUUAUUUGUAAGUAUACACAUCAGGCUCAAGCUUAUCUUCUUGCAUCUGCUCAAAUAUUUCUUCUGCCUUCUCACAGAGUCCCUCUCUAGCAAACGCGUUCACCAGAGCUGUGUAUGUGCAGAUAUCUGGUCUGCAUUUUUGACUUCUCAUUUCGUUAAACAACUUCAAGGCCAUGUAAGAUUGACUUGCCUGAGUACAGGAAAAAGAUUAGCAAAAUGAGUUUUUAAGGAUCCUAAACACCACUGUUGUCCAGUUAUCAGAAUUUAUAACCAUAUCCUUGAAUUUAUUCUGAUAAUUGUUUGAAAUUGAAUGCAUAUAUUUCAAGUUGUUCGUUGUAUCACUGUAGACUCGUAGACGUACGAGUUACGCGUAAUUUUCUACUGGGACCAGUGGCAUUUCAAGAAGAUCAGAUUUGCAGAAUAAUUCAGAACCAAAUACCACUGAGCUUACCUUCCCAUGAAGGUUGAUCAACAGUGUAUAGGUGUCAGUAGAGGGCUGGCAGCCAUCAUUUUUCAUUCGCUGAAAGAUCUCAAUUGCUCUUUGAGGGUUUCCAGCCUUCGUUAACCCAUCAAUAUAAGCAUUGUAUACAAUUGCACCUGGCCAAAAUUAGAGUAUACGCUCACUUUUCACUCUUGAAUGUGCAUGCAAGUGUAUCAACAGAACAGCUUGAAAAACGAAAAUCUGAGAAGUGUAAAUAAGAGAACGAAACACAAAAGCAGAACUAAUGCCCUGUAUUUCACCACCACAAAAAGAAGAGAAAUAACCCACGCAAUCUCAUAAAGGAAAGCUACAGAAGCAAGUUUGUCAUCCAGGAGCCUCUAGCCUAAUCCAGUUCCGGUCUAGCUAAAUUAGCAAGGGGUCCCUCUUGGUUUAAUCAACCAUUCUCUAAGCAUGGUGAUGUAGAUAAGGAGUAGUAAUCACUACUAUUAUAGUAGCAACAAGAAAUAUGCAGACCAUGAACCAAUCUUCUCUUUUCCUACGUUUAGUAUACUUCACCCCCGAAAAGAAAAAAUAAAUACAGCUCUGUGCAAUUAUUGAGCGAGGUUUCAAAAUUUAAAACGAAUUUAACCCCACAAAAAAUCAAUUUUUGAGGAAAAGAAUCUUAAAAGUUGAAGAAAUUUUUGUUUUAUAAGAAAUGGUUGAUCCAAUAACUUCUUGAAAAUACAAUUUCCCUAAAAGCUAAGAAGAAAUGAAUUGGUAAACACAUACUUGGAGGAAGGCUAUACUUUCGCAUAUCAACAAAGGCAGCUUCAGCUUUUUCUAACAAUCCACAUGCACAGUAAGCCUUUAUAAGAAGGGCAUAAGUGUCUUCAGUAGGGAUACACCUGGCUUGAAGAAGAUCAACAUAUGUUUCUUCUGCCUUCUUGUACAAAGAUUUUUGCCCAUAAGCAUCUAUUAGUAAAUUGUAGCACAUGACAUCUGUCUGGAAGGAGCUCUUGUACAAUAUCCAUUGACAUAUCUGGAAAUUUUAGAGUUACACCCAACAAGAUUAUUAAGAAUUAAGAACAAACGAUAUCAAAAAUGUCUAUAUAAUAAAUAGAGACAGUAAAGAGAUUUGUUUCAUUUAGUUGUAGGAAAAUGCUGGUAUAUGAGAAUUCCAAACACCAACUGCAGCACCAACCACUUAAAGGAGAUUUGAACAAUCGAGGAUUCAGUCUUAAUGGUUGAAGAGAAAAAUACUGUGCAAAAUACUGUGCCACAAAAAUAUGUGCGUGCAAGGUGGUUUAAUCCAUCGCCUACCACCUUACACUAUGAAAGAAAUAAGGCACGAUUUACUCACCAAUGCAAUCGGAUCCCAUUGUUUAUUCAAACGAAGUUGGACGGCUACAUUAAUAAGAUCAUCCCAAGUCUCGUGAGUGACAGGAAGAGUAUCAAGAGCAGCCCAAACAUUAUUCGGAUCCACUUCUUUCCGCACAAAGUUCAGAAUCUGAUGAGCAACAGGACUUAGCACGGGAAAAUUCCAUCAACAAAUCCAGAUCCAUAUUUCCAUCCUUGUCCCCUCAAAGAGCCACCUAGGUAAAUUAGACGACUUAAUAAUUAAAGCCAUAUUUGCUUGAGAGUUAUAUGUAUGAGCACAAAGUGAAUUACUCCGUAUUACAUCGUUUCCUGGACAUCUUUUUGUGAUCAAAGAUUCGCCAUUUGCCAUGUUUGUCGAUAUAGACCCUGUCGCUUUUCCACUUUUUAACAUCUCCACUACUGGAAUUCUUUUCUCUGCGUCUGAAAUGACCAUUCCGGAUUCUUGAUUCUAUAAAAAUAUGAUUCAGAGUGCAUCUAACAAGCAACCUGCAAACACUAAUCAAGUAAACACACAAUUGCCAGCAACAAAAUACACACCUCUUAAUUUAAAGCCAUUACACGGAGGAAGCAACCAAAUAAAAUCCAUAUAAAGGAUGCUUUAGACUUCAAAAUAAUUGGACAAAGAGAGACACUAAAACUACUUUUAAUCACAAUAGCAAACACAUGAAAUGCAAACCAGAAAACCUAGUUAAAAAGAAGAAGAAAAGUAGUCAACUUUCCCUUUCUAAACCAAAUAUCUUCUCCCUUUCUUCCGCAAUAAUUCUUAACUGCUGUGAGUAUAGGUUGUAUUUUCAUUACAGAAUCAAAUAUUAGUCUAAUCUAUCUGAUUAAACUACAAAAAUCAAAAUUUGCAAGAUAAACAAGGCCACAACUGUUGAAGACUGGUUAGAGUUCAACAACGAUAAGCAUAGCACUCUGACAGCUAAAACUGGUCCAUCAUCUUAAAACUUAUGAAGUCACAGUAAGACUUUUUAGAUAAUGAUGAUUGCUCGUUCAAUACAUAUGAGAGCCAACAAAAUGCUAAAAUGUUUAAUUAACAAGAACAUAAAACAAAUUAGACAUCCUCUCUCAAGUGAACGUUGAUACUUAGCAAUUCCAUUGAAACCCAUUUCUCAGAACCAGAAAUUCCAUGAAAAAGCAAUAUUAUCCAGCAAGAGGAGAAAGAACCACCAGAAUUGAAGUUAAUAAAUACAGAAAAUAACAAGGCAGCAUGAACAGCAUUAGCAGUGGCAUUGCAUUACGAAAGAGAGGAAGGAAGGACACGACUUACAUGAAAGUAUAAAAGAGGAGUUUGGAGUUGGGUAUCUGUAAACAUCCAGCAAGCAAGAAGAUAUGUGAACUGAAGAGUGUUUUCUUGGAUAAUGGACUCCGUGGGUGAAGACCAGCACUGCCAGACAAAAGUAGCUUCUGUUUUUUUCUGUUUACUAAGGGACAAAAGCCUCAAAAUAUCUCUAACGAACUUAAGGAGUCAAACAAUAGCAUUAUUGUAGCCUCGUGGUGUCUGAGGUUGCAUGGGAUUCUAUAUUGAGACAGUAGCUGAUUAUACAAUGGUUGAUUUAAAAUAACCAACACUACCUUUUUAUACAAAGUGGGAUUGAUGAGGAUAUAAAUCUACACACUCCAACAUUCAAAGUCCCAAUCUUAGAGUCAUUGAUUAGUAUAGUAACGCCUCAUUGGCAAGAACCCAAAUCACUAAGCUCAAAUUACUAAUAAAAAUUACAAAUUUACACCGAAUUUGAACAGAUUUCUACCAACCGAUGUCACUAAAGAAAACACAAAAAAAAAAAAAAAACGCAAAAAAACAAAAGGGCUUCUUGAAUUUAAACCAAAGAAUAUAACAAAACCAAUAAAAAAAAUAAUAAAUGUUUACUUACAGAAGAUUCAUCGACUAAAAUAGAUGGCAAUUUCUUCUCAGUUGCAACAACAACACCGCUUGCCGCUACAACACUAAAAAAAUAAUAAAAUCAACAACAUAGUAUCUAAGCACCCAUCAACAACAUAGUGCAUUCGAAAAUGACAAGAAAAUGAGAAAAGAGAGAGAGGGAGCUUAAAUUGCACCAACCUUUGAUUCCGAGAGAAGUUUGGCCUGAUCCAACGGCAGUCAAUGCGUGCUCAAUCUGUACUAGCUUUCCGGUAGGACUGAAAGUAGUGAGAGAAAAGGAGUACUGGCUAUCACCCAUGGUUUAUUGCUUGAAGACGCAGAGAGGAAAAACUGUGAAUGCGAGUGUGUGGGAGGGAAAGACAGGGAUAUUUACUUGGGGUUUUAACUUUGCUUUUCUCGUUGGAGAAGAAGGUGUUUUCUUACGAGGGCUUUUACAAUGGAGUAUUAUGGGAUUUUAUGACGGCAGGUUGAUCCUCUGUACAUUGAGCUCAAUGAAGGCUCGGGACCAGUUUUGUUUUCAAGUAUUAUUAACAAAUAUUUAUUUAUUUAUUAAUAUACAUAAUUUUUAAUUUAUUUAAUAACAUUUAUAUAUAAUUUUUAAUUUAUUAUAUUUUUGAACUAGAAAAAUAUAUUUAAAGAACUGCAUAUAUAAAUUUUUAUAAAAAAUAAAAUAUUUGACUCACAAUAAAUUAUCCAUAUUUUUAUUAAAAAAAUAAAGUUGGGUAAACUCUUAAUUAGGCCUUGCUACUGAAUUUUGUUGUUGAUUUGUAAUUUAAUUAUUGUUGAAGAUUUUUUGUGUUAGGUUUGGAUAACUUUAUUUGGAUUUAAUCUCCAAAAUCGAAGAGUAUCAUCACUUAUAGAUGAAUGGUUUAGCUUCUCUCAUUUAUUUGGAUUUUAAUCCACUGAAACUGAGGUUUAAGAGUUUCUUGGAUUUAAUCCACUGAAACAGUUGCUUGAUCAAGAUCAUUGGCUUGUUUGAAGGCAGAUAAAGGCAUACAAAAAAAAAGCGAGAGAGAGCGAGAAAGAGAGGAUGUGAGAAAUAAUUAUAGAUAUGAGUUACAGUAGUUGAAACAAAUGAAUUACAGAUCAUUUUAUGGUGAGAGAGAAAGAGAGAGAGAGAGAGAGAAUGUGAGAAAUAAUUAUAUCAUCUUAGAUUACAGAUCAUUUUGAGAAAAUCUAAAAGAAAGUAUCAUCUUAGAUUAAUUAUAGAUAUGAGUUACAGUAGUUGAAAUUUCAAAGGCAAUUUUUUAGAGUAAAGAGGAAAUAAUAUGUUGAGAUGAUGCGAGAGCCCAAUUACAGUAAAGAGGUCAUAUAUUAUUUACACUCAACCUUAGCAAACACCAAAGCAAAACAAAUUAAAUUAAUACACUCAAAGCAGGUUCUAAAGAGUUGUGCCAAUCUUCACCCAUCUCCUCCUUCCCGUAACGUUUCCUUAGAUUGGGGCAACUCUUUAUGUGUAACUCCUGUAGAGGCGCUGCCAAAACAUAGUCCGGUAGUUCUCUCAACAACGGGCAAUUACUAAUCAUCAACUGUCGAAGAUGUGGCAUAAUGGAUAUUAUUGAAGUUGUGAUGGCAUCUUCUUCUCCCACUGAUCUCCUUUCAAUUCCAUCCCACUCUUCUACUUCUGUGAGACUCACAAUUUGUUGUCUCCGUGGACGUACCCGGUUUUUGGGAACCACGUAAAUCUGUUGUUUGUGUUUUAUUUGUGUUUGCUUUUGGUUCAGUAUGCAUAACAAAUUGGUAUCAGAGCGUUUGGGAAGCUAGAACACUGAAAAAAACACGUUUUUCAGCUCUCGGAUCGAAGUUGCAGAAUUUUCAAAGUUCUCAGAUCUUGAUUUUGACCACCUACAGAGAUUCCUCUCGUCGAUACGAGUCCGGCAAUAUAAAGAUCAUCGAAAUCGGAGUUAAAACGAUCCCUGUAGAGCUCGCCGAAGUUUCGCCGGAAAACUGCCGGAAAAACCAGACUGCCGGAAUUCUUGCCUGAGAAGACUGCCACGUCAUCCGCCACGUCACCAAACAGUGACAGAAUAUGCUCUUGACAGAAUGAGAAUAUUCCGUUAACAGAGACAGAAUAUUCCUUUGGCAGUGACAGAAUAUUCUCUUGACAGUGACAGAAUAUUCCCUUGGAUUUGACAGAAUAUUCUUUAUCAGAGACAGAAUAUUCCUUUCCUGAGUCAACUCGGUCAGAUUUGUUUUUUGGCCAACUCAGUGAUUUUAUAUCCCGUUUUUUGGCCAAGUUAAGCUUGUUCCUAGCAUUUUCAACCGUUCCGGACGCAACCGUGGUGUCCGUUUUGUGAAACAGCACACAGAAGUUACUGUUUUGGCUCUUUUGAGCAUAAAAUUGUGUGUUUUAACAAUUUCGGGAGUCCAUUUGUAAUCUAAAGGCGUCCUAAUGGCUGAUAUUCCAGAAGAAAAAUCAGCGGGGAAUGCUAGUAUACCUCCACAAUACAUCCCGGUAUCGAAUACCAAAUUUGAGGUGGAGAAGUUUGACGGGAAAGGUAAUUUUGGCAUGUGGAAAUGUGAAGUUAUGGAUAUGCUUGUCCAAAUGAAUUUGGAUUUCACUCUAGAAGAUAAACCAAGAGGAUUUGGAUGAGAAAAGCUGGGGGAGGAUAAAUCGGUUAGCUUGCAGUUCCAUCCGACUUUGUCUUGUAAAAGAUCAAAAGUACGCCUUUUCAGAACAAAACUCUGCAAAGGAAUUAUGGCAAGCACUGGAGGACAAGUUUAUGAAGAAGAGUAUAGAGAAUCGUCUCUACUUGAAGAAAAGAAUCUUCCGUUUUCAGCACAAGAAAGGUACUUCCAUGAAUGAGCAUCUGAAUGAUUUCAAUAAAAUGAUAGCUGAUUUGAAGAAUUUAGAUGUGGAAAUAGAUGAUGAAGAUAAAGCUCUGUUAUUAUUGAAUUCACUGCCUGACACAUAUGAACAUCUCGUCACCACUUUACUGUAUGGUAAAGAAAAGAUUAAAUUCAUUGAUGUGUCCAAUGCUUUGGUGAAUAAUGAGUACCGGAAGAAGGACCAGAUUGUUCACAAGGAGUCAACGUCAGAAGCAUUGACAGUUAGAGGCAGAACAAACCCUAGAAGAUUUCGAGGGCGAGGGAGAUCUCGCUCAAAAUCUAGAGGAGAAUCAUCAAACAGGCGAUAUCUUGCAAAAGAUGAGUGUGCCUUUUGUCACAAAAAGGGGCACUGGAAGAAAGAUUGUCCAAUCAAGGGCAAUAAGGAAAAAGAUGAACCAACUGUGAACGUUGCACGAGAAGAAGAUGAACGAGACUCUGCAUUCAUGGUCUCAUCACCAGAAAAACAUUGUGGUGAAUGGAUUCUUGAUUCUGCAUGUUCUUAUCACAUGUCCCCUAACAAGCACUUAUUCUCGAGACUUGAGGAGUUCGAUGGAGGAGUUGUGUUUAUGGGCAAUAAUAAUGUUUCUGAGGUCAAAGGGAUUGGGACUAUCCAUCUGAAGAUGCAUAAUGGGGUAGUCAAGACACUAACAGAGGUACGGUAUGUACCUGACUUGAAGAAAAAUCUCUUCUCACUUGGAGUCCUAGAAUCCAGUGGUUAUAAGAUUAUCAUGCAUGGUGGAGUCCUCAGAGCAAUCCGUGGUGCAUUAGUUGUCUUAAGAGGCACGAGGAUAGGAAACUUAUAUUUCCUAGAUGGAUCUACUGUUACUGGUAUAGCAGCUGUUUCCAAAAGCCUAGAAGAUGCUGAAGCAGAUAAUUCCAGACUUUGGCACAUGCGCUUAGGGCAUGCUGGUGAAAAGGCUUUGCAAGGACUAGUCAAGCAAGGUCUAUUAAAAGGCGCCAAGACUGGGAAGCAUGGGUUCUGUGAGCAUUGUGUUCUUGGAAAACAGACAAGGGUCAAGUUUGGCACUGCAAUACACAACACAAAAGGGAUUCUAGAUUAUGUUCACACAGAUGUAUGGGGACCUUCAAAGAAUGAAUCUCUUGGAGGUAAUCGUUGGUUUGUUACUUUUAUUGAUGAUUUCUCAAGACGAGUAUGGGUGUACAUGAUGAAACACAAGGAUGAGGUCCUUGAUAUCUUUCUGAAAUGGAAGAAAAUGGUGGAGACUCAAACGGGAAGGAGAGUUAAGACUCUUCGGUCAGAUAAUGGUGGUGAGUACACUUCAGAUCCUUUCUUUGAAGUUUGCCAGGAUGAAGGGAUCAAGCGACAUUUUACUGUGCGCAAAACACCACAACAAAAUGGAGUAGCAGAACGCAUGAACCGCACAUUGGUGGAGAAAGUCCGAUGUAUGCUAUCACAUUCGGGACUAAGCAAAGUGUUCUGGGGCGAGGCAUUAAGCUAUGCCGUCAUAUUGUUAAUCGGUUACCUUCAGCAGCAUUAAAUGGAAGAACCCCCUUGGAGGUAUGGUCAGGCUCUCCUGCAAAUGAUUAUGACUCUAUGCGUAUAUUUGGUUGCUCAGCAUAUUAUCAUGUUACUGAGUUAAACUAGAUCCUAGAGCCAAGAAAGCUAUAUUUUUGGGCUUUAGUGGAGGAGUAAAAGGUUACAGACUCUGGUGUUCUGAAUCAAAGAAAGUGAUUUUGAGUAGAGAUGUCACUUUUGAUGAGUCUGGCAUGUUACAGCAGGAGAAAUCACAGGAGAAGGAAAAACAGUCUGGUGAUGCACAACAGGUGGAGUUGGAGACUUCAGUCAUCCCUAUAAAGACUGUUCAGACAAUCCCUACUGAAGGAGAUUCAGAUGAAAGUUCAGAUGAAGAGGAUGCAACAACUCCAGCAACCACACAACAAGAAUCCAUUGCAACGAGUAAACCGAAAAGAGUUAUCAAGAAACCUGCUCGGUAUUGUGACAUGGUGGCUUAUGCACUUCCAGUGAUUGAUGAUGGAAUCCCCUACACCUACAAAGAAGCAGUACAGAGUGUAGAAAGUGCAAAAUGGAAAGAGGCAAUGGAUGAAGAGAUGAAAUCUCUCCACAAGAAUCAGACUUGGGAUUUGGUACAACUCCCUAAGGAAAAGAAGACAAUUGGUUGCAAGUGGGUAUAUGCCAAGAAGGAAGGUAAUCCUGGAAAAGACAACAUCCGAUUCAAAGCAAGAUUGGUAGCAAAAGGCUAUGCUCAGAAGGAGGGGAUAGAUUAUAAUGAGGUAUUCUCUCCAGUUGUUAAGCAUUCAUCAAUUCGUAUUUUGCUAGCCUUAGUUGCACAAUUUGAUUUGGAGUUAGCCCAACUUGAUGUGAAAACUGCCUUCCUACAUGGAGAUUUGGAAGAGGAAAUUUACAUGUCUCAGCCAGAUGGUUUCAAAGUCACUGGGAAAGAGAAUUGGGCUUGUAAACUGAAGAAGUCAUUGUAUGGCUUGAAACAAUCUCCUCGCCAGUGGUAUAAGCGAUUUGAUAAGUUCAUGACAGAACAUGGAUACACACGGAGUCAGUUUGACAACUGUGUAUAUUUUCGCAGACUUCUUGAUGGUUCUUUCAUCUAUUUGCUCUUAUAUGUGGAUGAUAUGUUGAUUGCAUCAAAGAGCAAGGUGGAGAUUGAUAGACUGAAAGCUCAACUGAGAACUGAGUUUGAAAUGAAGGACCUUGGAGAAGCUAAGAAGAUUCUUGGCAUGGAGAUUCAGAGAGACAGAAGAAAAGGCACAGUCUGUUUGACACAGACCCAAUACUUGAAGAAACUUCUACAGAGAUUUGGGGUAGAUGGUAAGACCAAGCCGGUAAGCACACCUUUAGCUCCUCAUUUUAAGCUAAGUGCUUCAAUGUCUCCACGCACAGAGGAAGAGCGCAAACAUAUGGCUCAAAUUCCGUAUGCAAAUGCAGUUGGUGCAUUAAUGUAUGCAAUGGUUUGUACGAGACCAGAUAUUUCACAUGCUGUCAGUAUGGUGAGCAGGUAUAUGCAUGAUCCGGGAAAGGGUCACUGGCAGGCAGUUAAGUGGAUUCUACGGUACAUUCAUGGCACAACUGAUAUUGGUUUGAAGUUUGAGAGGGAUGAUAGACUCGAGCAAAAUUUAGUUGGUUAUGUGGAUUCGGAUUAUGCUGGUGACUUAGACAAGCGUCGUUCCACAACAGGCUAUGUGUUUACACUUGCUAAAGGGCCUGUAAGUUGGAGGUCAACUUUACAAUCAACAGUAGCUUUGUCAACAACUGAGGCAGAGUACAUGGCAGUAACAGAAGCUUUCAAGGAAGCUAUUUGGUUACAUGGGUUGAUUGAAGAUUUGGGAAUUGUUCAAGAGCACGUGGAUGUCCAUUGUGAUAGUCAAAGUGCUAUUUGUCUUGCAAAGAAUCAGGUUCAUCAUUCCCGCACCAAGCACAUCGAUGUUCGAUUUCAUUUUGUUCGAGAAAUUGUGGAUGAAGGGGAUAUUCUGCUACAGAAAAUUGUACUAUAGAUAAUCCAGCUGACAUGCUCACAAAAUGUGUCUCAGGGAUCAAGUUCCAACAUUGUUUGGACUUGGUCAACAUCUCUCGGUGUUGAGCACCUUCAGGGUGCAAUGCCAUAUGGCGCAAUGGAGGCGGCAUUGAUUAAUCACGAGUAUUGGAUGGAAAAAUCUUGCAAAGGUGGAGAUUUGUAGCAAAUUGUCAACAUUUGAAAAUUGUCAACAUUUUUCUCAACAACCCUCUCCUUUACUCAACCACUAUCAACCACCCUCUCCUUCUUUUUGACCAUUAUCACUUCUCAUCAAGGUGCUGCCAAAGCUCUCCUAUAAAGACAGAGACGAGAGAGUGCAGGGUAGAAGAGAGGAAGUGUCAAGUGCAGAGGAAGUGUGGUGAGUGCAAGUGAGUGCAACUGUGAGAGUGAAAAAUACAGAUUUGAGAGAAACACAGAGUGUUAGAGUGAAACACUGGGUUUUGUGGGGAUUGUAUUGGGGUUGAGUUGAGUGUUUGUAUUAUUCCUCCAAUAAUAUACAAUCUGUUGUCUCCGUGGACGUACCCGGUUUUGGGAAACCACGUAAAUCUGUUGUUUGUGUUUUAUUUGUGUUUGCUUUCGGUCCAGUAUACACAACACACGUUUCUACACUAACGGAGUGUAAGCACCUGUAAUCUGGUUAAUGUCAUCAUCCAAUUUGGCCAUUCCAACCCUCCGUAACUCCAUAUGAUUAGAUUUUCCAAGUCUGACGGAGGCUGUAAAGCUUCAAUUAAAAUGCCGUUCUCCUGGUUGUAGUAGAAAUCCAAUUCCAAACGAAGCAGGCGCUUCUUAUUCUUGAGUUGUGCUUCUGCAGCGUCACUCGCAUCUUCUUUACCUCCUCCUAGAUUACUUAUAAUAAGACUCCCUCCAAUGUGAUUUAAGUUUUUUAAUUCUCUUAGAUUAGCUGCUUUACUUUCAUUCUCACCACCAGCACACACAGUAAACACAUCUAAUGUUCGAAGACAUGUUAUCCUCUCUAUUCCCUUUGGUAUGAAGGCCACACCUGAAUCAUAAAUCCGGAGAUGCCUCAAUUUGAUAAGUUUUCCAAUCGCCUUGGGCAAUUCCUUGAGAGACCGACACCAAGUAACGUCUAGGGAUUGCAGAUUGCAUAAAUCACACAUGGUUUCUGGCAGGGACUCCAACUCUCCACACCAUGCCAAAUUGAGGUGUCUCAAAUGUAUCAAUUUCCCUACCUCGUUUGGUAUUUCUUUGAUUGAAGACCUUGUCAAAUUCAAUGACCUGAUGCAUGUCAACUGUUUGAACAAAUCAGGCAGUGCAGCUCCAAGCGAAGGGUCUCUAGUGCCGAUCAAGAGGCUGCGAAGACCUUUUGCUUUGUGAAUGGACUUGGGAAAAGAGCUCUCCUCUGACAGCAUCAUGCUUAAAUGACGAACCCUUUCAAUUGAAGUCUCCAUUGUUGCUUCUCCAAGUUUACUGGCAUCCACUGUUAGACAUUCAUUUUUUGUCAUAUAUUGGGCAAAAUCAUGCACUAUAUCAUGCAUCUUGAAUUUCAUUCCUUCAAACCAAUGCCUCUCAAAAUCUUGGAAGAAAGAGCGCGCUGCCAAGACUUGAAAGCACUCCUCUCCAACAAGCUCCAUAUCUCCACCUGAAGUCUCCUUGAAGUAACCUUGAGCCAUCCACAUCUUCACCAAUUCAGAUUUUCCCAUCUCGUAGCCUUUUGGAAACAUGGCACAAUACAAGAAACAUCGUCUUACCCUUGCACUUAUUUGCAAUUUUAUCGCUGGUUUCUGUCAAUCUUUCGCACUCAUCUUUGCUUCUUUUAUUGAAUGCCACCUGAAUGAAUAUGGACCUGCAUACCUCAUCAGACAAUCUCUCAAGGAUGAUCAUGUGGUCGGUUCCCAUCAUGGUUGCCACAGAAUGUUUACGAGUGGUCACUAGAAUUCUGCUUCCUGGUGCUCCGCCUUUGAGAGAGUGUUUCAGCGGUUCCCAUUGUCCAUAAUUUUCUGUCCAGACAUCAUCUAGGACAAGAAGGAACCUCUUUCCCUUAAUGGAUUCAGAAACCCUUUGCAAAAGGGAUUGCAAUUCAACCAAAUCCGGUGCCCUCCCUUCAAGCUGCUCGAGGAUAGCUUUGCCUAUCCUAACCUCAUCAAAUGGAUCUGAAACACACACCCAUAUCUUCUCAAAAUGAGCCGUAACCUCAGCAUCAUUAAAAGCUAGUUGGGCGAGAGUUGUCUUUCCAAUCCCGCCCAUCCCUACUAUAGAGAUGACCUCUACGUCCCCUGCUUCCUGAAUACUUUCGCCCAGCAACUUGCUUACUACAGCUUCCCUUUCAUCAUCUCGACCAGUCACGAUUGAUUCAUCAACAAGGGAGGUACUUGUUAUUCGUUGGAGUUCAUCAGUGGCUCUGUACGGAUCAAAGCCAUACAUAGCUCUCGCUUUCGCAAUGUCAUCCACUUUUUCACAUACUUCUUUGAUCUUGAGGGCAAUGUCUCGACGUCGAACCACUUGAUUGAGACAAAAGCAAGGAGAUUUCAGGAAGGAACAUCGCAUCUUCUGUAGGCUGCGAGUAUUUUCUUCAGCUUCCUCCAUUUUCCAUGUAAGAAUUGCUGAGCUCCAUUCAUCUAGCACGUCAUCCAUAUCAUAACAUACAUCUUUGAGCUUGUCUACCCAAUCUCUUACAGCCUUAUCCUUCACUUGUUUUCUAUCUGCGUCUUCAAGGAUAGAUUGGAUAACAAUGAGAUUGCUUUUCAGCUUGUCGACUUCGUUUCUUCACACCCCCUACUAGGUUCACCUCUUCAUGUACCUAUUAGGGUAGAAAAGAUCAGAAAGUUCAAGCAGAGGAAACAUUUCUAUGAUUUCAAUACAAGUUUUUUUAUUUUAAUUUUUCGUAAUUAAUAGAUUAAAUAAUUUUUAUUAAUCUUUUUUUUUGCAGUAGUUGACACGUGCUGUGAAAUGGAUUGGCUAUAUUAAUAACUUAUAUAUAAAAUAUUUAUUGAAAACUUAUAUAUUAAAGAUAAUGCUUCUUUUUAUCAUCAUCAUGAUGAUAUCUCUCUGCACUCUGCUACUAUACAAGGAAGAAAAUGAAUCUUAAAUUGUUCCAAUCAAAGAAAUAUAGUGAUUAAAAGGAUCUGUAUUUGUUGGUAUUUGUAAAGUCUAUUUGGAAAUAAAUAUUCUUCCUUUAAAGUGAACUAAUUAUUUUAACAUUUGAUUGAUUAUUUUACCCUUAGCAGUUCAGUUUAAUGAGAGGAUUGACAACUCCUUUUUCCUUCUAAAGAUUAUUUCCAGAAAUAUGAAAAAUAAUAAAACAAUAAAAAUAAAUUUCCUUAAUAAAAUCCAAAUCUAGAUCUGAGUAUUUGAGAUUUUAUUUUAUUUUUAUGGUAGAGGAACAAAAAAAGACUUCAUUUUUAUAUUUCUUAUUCAUGUUAGGUUAAUUGGAUCAUUGCAAAUUGUAGAAAGGCAAUUACCUGUUGAGCAACGAUCCUCGUUAACUGCUCCAGAAUUGGCGAUAAAAGUGCCUCUGCCAUUUGUCUGUUUACUUUUAUUUUAUUUCUUAAAAAAAGAGAGACAAUGAUGAUAGGAUGAACAGAGAGGGAGAGAGAAGAGAGUAUGAGGGGAAGGAGGCUGCUGAUUUAGUUAGUUUAGAGCGGAGAAGCUAAAUGAAUAGCUAAAAAUAAAAAAUUAAUAUUUUAGUUUUUCUUUACUUGUUUUAUACACUCCAAGAAAAAAGUCAAAUAAAAUACUAAAAUACCUUUUUUCUCCCACAAAUGUUAUUCCUAUAUAUCUCUCAAAAGAGCCAAAAUUAAUCAAGUGGGGCCAACAAAAGAAUAAACCAAUUAAAUCUAGCCAUGUGAAAAAAAAAUAACAUCAAAAUCAUUAAAAAAAAUAAAACACUUCUUUAUUCUACUCUAAUAGAAUUGGCUUUUUAAAUGGCUUUUUUUCCAUUAGAAUAUACAUGAUAAAAAAAGUUAUAUUUAUACUAUUCAAAAUGCUAUUUUAUCAAUUUAUCUUUUUAAAAUAGCAUUUUACUUUGGAGAUGUUCUUAUAUGUGCUUAGGGUUUGGUGGUGAGGGUUGACUUUUGUUUCAAUGCCUGCGCUGUUUCUAACAUUUCAAUUCAGUCCCUAUAUUAUUGAACUUUUCAGUCUAGUGUCGGUCAGGGUUUUGUUAACAGGAAAAGGAUUGCAGGGAUGGCUGGUCUGAGUGAUGGAAGCUGGCUGAAGCUGGGGCUGUGUGGAUAUCAGUUAAAUUUUGAUGCAGGCUCUUGAACUAGAAACCAUGUAUUAGUUGUCUCAUAUAGGACACUUUACUAUUACAUUUUGAUGCUGGCUCUUGAACCAUUACCCUCUUCGCUCCAGUUGAGAAGAAUUUUUAAUUUAUAUUCCUGAUGAUCAUCGUUAUGCUAUGUAAUGUAGUGAUUCAAUCGCGCCAUUUCUUAUGUUUAGAAAUCUAUGUUUUGGUAACUUGUCUCUUGUUUUUUUUUUUUUCUUGUUGGGUUGCUCAGGUGCUAUCUACAUUGAUUCUGAUAUCAUAGUUUUGAAUUCAUGGUCUUCACUUAAUAACACGAUUGGUCUGGAGAAUUCUACUGAGAGAUUAUCGCAUUCUACUGAAAUUCCUGAAAUUGAUUAUAGCAUUCUACUGAAAUUCCUGCUUCUCAUCUGUUUCUCCAUUUCUUCUCUUCAUUUAAUGUUUAUCUGGUAUCAGUAGCAUGUGCUGGUCAUGGCAAAAAAGUAUGGAAGGAUUGCUGGUUUGCGUGAAUGGAGCUCCUUUAAAUGGGAGGUUCGUUUGUGAAGGGGAGCAAAUGGGUGUGAAAAGGACAAGAAAUGAGGAAAGAAUUCAUAUUGUCUGGACCACAUCACCUUCCUUUCUUCUUCUUUUUUUUGUUUUCAUUCCUUUUUUAUUGUCUCUUUCUACUUUUUCAUAAUGAAAUUCAGAUCUAAAUUACAGAGGAAAUCAGCAUGCUAGAUUCAGCAGCGUUUGGGGUCAGAAUGCCAUUGUUGGGAAGAAGACAACAAAUUAUGUGUAGCUUAGCAGCCAUUGUUGCUGCUUCAGGAACACCAAACUCCCUUGUCAAAAAACUGGAUCCAUAUGCAUUUUGCAAUUAAGUCAUUAUGCUUUAAACUCAUUCUAUGUGUCUUUCCUUACAAAAAAAAAAAAAAAAAAUGGUUAUUUGCUGUCUUCAAACCCGAGAGUUUCGUUGCGUUCUGUUUCAAUUCAGUCAGUCUUUAUUAGUCAAUGCUUCGUAGAACAGAGGCACCUCAUUGCAGAGUGCGGGUACAAAACUAGUGUUGAGGUGAGGUCAUAUGUCCUACCAAAAUGGAUUUUGAUCAUAAUAAUUAGAAGAAGAAAAAAAAACAACAUUAAUAAUUGAUCAUCGUGGCUACAAAAUGAAGUGGAACUAAUAAUUAAUGGAGUGUAUAUAAUAAUCAUAAUCAUAAUAAUACUAAAUAAAAUGAAUUACUAUGUGUAUUCUAUAAUUUAGUUAUAUAAUAUAGCAGAUCUGUACAAAUUAGUAAUUUCAACUUACCAAUAAAAAAAUUAUAGUAGAUUUUUACCGUGGUAUGAUUGCAAUAAAUAAAAUAAAAUAAAUUUACUUCACAGCAUUAAUAAUUUUUUAGUUUUUGUCAAACAAUAUCAACACACAUGUAUAUUAUGCAUUCACUCAUUUUUUUAAAAAUAAUUAUAAUAAAAUUAAUUAGUUAUUUAUUAUAAAAACUAGACCUAUAAGUUAUGUCUAAGCUGUUAAAAAUAAUAAAAAUAAAAUAAUUUAAAGAUAUAAUAUAUUUUAAAUAAAAUUAUUAGUCAAUCUAUAUCGAGUUGUUUUAUCUACUAAAUUAAAAAAUUUAAGUUUUUAUAUCACUUAGAAUACUUAUGUUGAAUUUAAUCCAUAAAAUCGAUGGGUAUCAUCUCUUACAGAUGAAUCGAUGGGUAUCAAGUUACAUGCCAUCUUGCAACUUCGAAUAACAGACCACUCGACUGGCUCCAAAAUCAAACCAUCUCCACCUCAUUCAACACGAUUUAAAAUAAUCAACACCACCUUUUUAUACAAUGUGGGAUUGAUGAGGAUAUAAAUCUACAAACUCCAUCCAAAGUCUCAAUCUUAUAGUGUUCUUAACUAGUAUAGUAACGCCUCAUUGGCAAGAACCCAAAUCACUAAUAAAAAUUACAACUUUACACCGAAUUUGAACAGAUUUCUACGAGCCGAUGUCACUAAACUCAAAUUACUCCUAAAAAUCUCAAUAUAAACCCAUUAACUACUAGACCAACACCUCAUUGGCUAGAAUCCACGUUGCUUUUCCACAACAAUCAUCAGCUUCUUCAAUUAGGAUGCUACAAGCCCUUGUCUAUAUACUAGCUUAAAUUGCGACAACCUUUGAUUCCGAGAGAAGUUUGGCCUGAUCCAACGGCAGUCAAUGCGUGCUCAAUCUGUACUAGCUUUCCGGUAGGACUGAAAGUAGUGAGAGAAAAGGAGUACUGGCGACCCAUGGUUUAAUGCUUCAACACGCAGAGAGGAAAAACUGAGAAUGCGAGCGUGUGGGAGAGAAAGAAAGGGAUAUUUACUUGGGGUCUUAACUCUGCUUUUCUUGUUGGAGAAGAAGGUGUUUUCUUACGAGGGCUUUUACAAUGGAGUAUUUUGGGCUUUUAUAACGGCAGCUUGGUUCUCUUUACAUUGAGCUCAAUGUUUUUCCCAGAAAUCUGCCCUUCAAAUCUGCAAACACAAACAAUCUUGUAAGGGUACAAGGGAAGCACUCAGAACUUGUAAGAAACUUUAAAAUGCUCAUUUAUAUCUCUCUUUGACCACUUUGCAAAAACUAAGAUUAUGCUCACUAGUCCACCAUCACUCUGAUUAUAGAAGCAAGACUCGACAAUUUAACAACUUAAAAUCACUAAGAGGAAAGAAAAGGAACCUUCAAGCACCUGCAAGUACAUUUGAUUGACACUGGGUUGAGAAACUUUCAUUCAUUUUCACUUAAACAGUAUCUCACAUAAUUUAAUCUCCUGAACUACUAACUAAAGUGUUGAGAGCCAAUUUUGACAUAGGUAAUAAGUUGCACAAGUUAGUAAGAAGUGGCUCAUUGAGCAACCAAAUUGCCAAGAUGUCUUAUUUCAAACCCAAGAACAGAGGAAUGCCUUAUUUUUAUUUUUCUAAGGAACUACAUAUUUGCCCCCCUCUUUUUUUCAGUUGAAACAGAAACAGGGUACAUGUACAACGUGUUAAAGUCAAGUCCAUAACCAGACCAAUUAAGAACAUUGACCUACAAGGAGUUCCACUGAAGUUCAGAUUAUAAGCAGGCAUGCUUCUAUCUCAAUUUACCACCCCGGGUCAAAUUUCACACUUAUCAGGACACUAUAACAACAGCAGAAACUUUACAAUUUCCCACCAAACAUAAAGAGAGCUUUGAAUCUACACACCCGCCUGCUACAAUCAUUCAUGACAGAUAUUUUAGCAAAAUUAAGGCCAGAGAAACACAAGCUAAAAAAAUGGAACUUCCUAAUUACUGAGAAGCAGGCAGAAACAAACCUGUAGACAACUCCAAUAUUGGGUGUCAGAUUCUGUAUUUUCUGAACCUGAAACAGGAAGCAAUUAAAUACCAUCAACAACCAACUCAAGUUACAUCCCAUCUUGCAAAUUAGAAUAAUAGACCAAUCAACUGGCUCCAAAAUCAAACCAUCUCCACCUCAUUCAACACGAUUUAAAAUAACCAACACUACCUUUUUAUACAAAGUGGGAUUGAUGAGGAUAUAAAUCUACACACUCCAACAUUCAAAGUCCCAAUCUUAGAGUCAUUGACUAGUAUAGUAACGCCUCAUUGGCAAGAACCCAAAUCACUAAGCUCAAAUUACUAAUAAAAAUUACAAAUUUACACCGAAUUUGAACAGAUUUCUACCAACCGAUGUCACUAAAGAAAACGCAAAAAAAAAAAACGCAAAAAAACAAAAGGGCUUCUUGAAUUUAAACCAAAGAAUAUAACAAAACCAAUAAAAAAAUAAUAAAUGUUUACUUACAGAAGAUUCAUCGACUAAAAUAGAUGGCAAUUUCUUCUCAGUUGCAACAACAACACCGCUUGCCGCUACAACACCAAAAAAAUAAUAAAAUCAAACAACAUGGUAUCUAAGCACCCAUCAACAACAGUAGUGCAUUCGAAAAUGACAAGAAAAUGAGAAAACAAGAGAGAGAGGAGCUUAAAUUGCAACAACCUUUGAUUCCGAGAGAAGUUUGGCCUGAUCCAACGGCAGUCAAUGCGUGCUCAAAUCUGUACUAGCUUUCCGGUAGGACUGAAAGUAGUGAGAGAAAAGGAGUACUGGCUAUCACCCAUGGUUUAUUGCUUAAGACGCAGAGAGGAAAAACUGAGAAUGCGAGUGUGUGGGAGAGAAAGACAGGGAUAUUUACUUGGGGUUUUAACUUUGCUUUUCUCGUUGGAGAAGAAGGUGUUUUCUUACGAGGGCUUUUACAAUGGAGUAUUAUGGGCUUUUAUGACGGCAGGUUGAUCCUCUGUACAUUGAGCUCAAUGAAGGCUCGGGACCAGUUUUGUUUUCAAGUAUUAUUAACAAAUAUUUAUUUAUUUAUUAAUAUACAUAAUUUUUAAUUUAUUUAAUAACAUUUAUAUAUAUAAUUUUUAAUUUAUUAUAUUUUUUGAACUAGAAAAAAUAAUUUUCCAGAUCGUGAUGUAUAUUUCUCACAUUGUUUAAAGAAGCUAAUUUAACAUUUUUGUUUAGUAAACUAAAUAUUCAACAACUUGGGCGACAAAUAUCUGGUUGCAGCGUGCAGAGAGUAAAAACAAAAUAACUCCCACAAAACCGUUGACCCAUUUUAGACAUGAAGCCAUAGUGUUGUUCGGGGCCCAGCACCGUAAGAGGAAGGCUCCCUCUAAAUUAUAAUUUGGCCCCCUUAAUUUUUUUUCCUUGCUCCGCCCCUGCAUGGAGGGUGGUGAGUUUUGGAUCUAUAAUUAUGCUCUCCAGCGUUUUAUUCAUUGGCUUGGACAGCCUGGCUAACAAUAAUAGCAUAACCACUGCAACAGUGGUUUACAAAUGAUACAUACCUCUUCAGCUUGCUUCCCUCAUUUAUUUGGAUUGAAUCCACUGAAACUGAGGUUUAAGAAUUUCUUGGAUUUAAUCCACUGAAACAGUUGCUUGAUCAAGAUCAUUGGCUUGUUUGAAGGCAGAUAAAGGCUUAAAAAAAAAAAAAAAGCGAAAGCAAGAAAAGGAGGAUGUGAGAAAUAAUUAUAGAUAUGAGUUCCAGUAGUUGAAACAUAUGAAUUACAUAUCAUUUUAUGUUGAGAGAGAAAGAGAGAGAGAGAGAGAGAGGAUGAGAGAGAGGUAUAUCACAGCUGCAUUUGAUAGACUAAAUGGUAAGUAGGAAAUAAAAUCGAAUUACAGUAAAAAGGUCACAUUGAAUGAAAUCCUCCAUGUAAGUAAAAAAGGUCCACAGAGUAAAUGGUAAGAAUUAACACCAAAGCAAAUAACUAACACUCAGAACCAAAUCUUUUACCGUUAAGAAUUAACACUGGUAGAAGAAUUUACCUCUUCCUGCUGGUUCUAAAGACUAAAGAAUUUACCUAUAUAGCAUCAAAAUUAAUCUUUGGGAUGUGAGAAAUCUUUUGCCAAUCUUCACCCAUCUCCUCUUUCCCGUAAUGUUUCCUUAGAUUGGGGCAUCUACAUAUAUUUAAUUCCUGUAGAGGCGCUGCCAAAACAUAGUCUGGUAGUGCUCUCAACAACGGGCACUGGUUAAUUCCCAAAUAUUGAAGUUGUGGCAUAAUGGAUAUUAUUGAAGUUGUGUUGGCAUCUUCUUCUCCCACUCUCCUUCCAAUUCCUUCCCACUCUUCUACUUCUUUGAGGAAAAAAAUGCCAAGUUUUUUUAAUUUGGGGAAAGCAGUGACCCUUGCAAUUUCUCCUUCAUUAAUACUGGCAUUCUCAUCUUUUUCUAUACCUAAAAAUCCAGCAUCCAACCUUCUCACCUUCAACGAGCUCAAUACCAGGAUUUCAAGGUUGGGCAAUCUCCCCAACGGAGGCAAGACCUCCGCGUUUUCGCCAAAAUCAAGUCUAAGCUCCUGUAAUCUGGUUAAUGUCAUCAUCCAAUUUGGCAAAUCCAACCCUCCGUACCUAGAUAUGGUUAGAUUUUCCAAGCCUGACGGAGGCCGUAAAGCUUCAAUUAAAGAGCCUUCAUUCAUUUGCAACUCUGUUUUCUCUCUGUCGAAAUCCAAUUCCAAACGAAGCAGGCUCUUCUUAUUCUUGAGUUGUGCUUCUGCAGCGUCACUCGCAUCUUCUUUACCUCCUCCUAGAUUCCGUAUACGAAGACUCCCUCCAAUGUGAUUCAAGUCUUUUAAUUCUCUUAGAUUAGCUGCUUUACUUUCAUUCUCACCACCACCACACACAGUAAACACAUCUAAUGUUCGAAGACAUGUUAUCCUCUCUAUUCCCUUUGGUAUGAAGGCCACACCUGAACGAUAAAUCCGGAGAUGCCUCAAUUUGAUAAGUUUUCCAAUCGCCUUGGGCAAUUCCUUGAGAGACCGACACCAAGUAACAUCUAGGGAUUGCAGAUUGCAUAAAUCACACGUGGUUUCUGGCAGGGACUCCAACUUUCCACACCAUGCCAAAUUGAGGUGUCUCAAAUGUAUCAAUUUCCCUACCUCGUUUGGUAUUUCUUUGAUAGAAGACUCUGACAAAUUCAAUGACCUGAUGCAUGUCAACUGCUUGAAUAAAUCAGGUAGUGCAGCUCCAAGCGAAGGGUCUCUAGUGUGGAUCAAGAGGCUGCGAAGACCUUUUGCUUUGUGAAUGGACACGGGAAAAGAGGUCUCGUUGGCCAACAUCAUGCUUAAAUGACGAACCCUUUCAAUUGAAGUCUCCACUGUUGCUUCUCCAAGGUAUUGACAUCCACUGUUAGACAUUCAUUUUUUGUCAUAUAUUGGGCAAAAUCAUGCACUAUAUCAUGCAUCUUGAAUCUGAUAAUUUCUAGACCAUACUUCUUACAAUCUUGGAAGAAAGAGCGUGCUACCAAGACUUGAAAGCACUCCUCUCCAACAAGCUCCAUAUCUCCACCUGAAGUCUCCUUGAGGUAACCUUGAGCCAUCCACAUCUUCACCAAUUCAUAUUUUCUCAUCUCGUAGUCUUUUGGAAACAUGGCACAAUACAAGAAACAUCGUCUUACCACAGAAGGUAAAUCGUAGUAACUCAAAAGCAAAGGUGGAAAUAGUCCUCUUUCAACAUGUUCUAGCUCCCACAGUUCGCUAGAUAAAACAUGUUCCCACUCUUCUCUUGUUCUUUUAGACUGCAUUAGACCUCCUAAUACCUUGGCAGCUAGAGGCAAGCCCUUGCAAUUGCUUGCAAUUUUGCCGCCUAUUUCUGUCAAUCUUUCGCGCUCAUCUUUGCUUCUUUUAUGGAAUGCCAACUGAUUGAAUAUUGACAUGCAUACCUCAUCAGACAAUUUCUCAAGGUUGAUCACGUGGUCGGUUCCCAUCAUGGUUGCCACGGAAUGUUUACGAGAGGUCACUAGAAUUCUGCUUCCUGGUGCACCGCCUUUGAGAGAGAGUUUCAGUGGUUCCCAUUGUCCAUGACUUUCUGUCCAGACAUCAUCAAGGACAAGAAGGAACCUCUUUCCCUUAAUGGAUUCAGAAACCCUUUGCAAAAGGGAUUGCAACUCAACCAAAUCCGGUGCACCCGCUUUAAGCUGCUCAAGGAUAGCUUUGGCUAUCCUAACCUCAUCAAAUGGAUCUGAAACACACACCCAUAUCUUUUUCUCAAAAUGAGCCGUAACCUCAGCAUCAUUAAAAGCUAGUUGGGCGAGAGUUGUCUUUCCAAUCCCACCCAACCCUACUAGAGAGAUGACAUCCACGUCCCCUGCUUCCUGACUACUUUCACCCACCAACUUGCUUACAACAGUUUUCUUUUCAAAAUCUCGACCAAUCACGCUUGAUUCAUCAACAAAGGAGGUACUUGUUAGUCGUUGUAGUUCAUCGGUGGCUCUAUACGGAUCAAAGCCAUACGUAGCUCUCUCUUUGGCAAUGUCAUCCACUUUUUCGCAUACUUCUUUGAUCUUAAGGGCAAUGGCGCGACGUCGAACCACUUGAUUGAGACAAGAGCAAGGAGAUUUCAGGAAGGAACAUCGCAUCUUCUGUCGGCUGCGAGUAUUUUCUUCAGCUUCCUCCAUUUUCCGUCUAAGAAUUGCAGUGCUCCAUUCAUCUAGCACGUCAUCCAUAUUAUAACAUACAUCUUUGAGCUUGUCUAGCCAACCCUUUACAGCCUUAUCCUUCACUUGUUUUCUAUCUGCAUCUUCAAGGACAGAUUGGAUAGCAACGAGAUUGCUUUUCAGCUUGUCAACUUGUUUCUUCACACCCACUACUAGGUUCACCUCUUC